rnacentral:lncRNA from 1 species
AGGAAUGUAUAAACUAAUGCUUCCAUAGAUCAAUCGUGGUUUACAAUUAUAGCUUCCAUAUCUGUUUAUUUAGAGCGUCCCGGAUAAAAAAAGAGCAGAGUCAAGACAAAGAAAAGGCGGCGAUUCAAUCAAGAUGUCCCCAGUACCCUAUAGUCAAAGUCAAAUUACAAAAAGAAAAUAAAGAAAAUAGAGACGCAAAAUCAGAGAUUAAUGUGUAUCAAACUACUUGUCUUCUUGUAGUUGGAUCUCCAAGUUUUUGGAAUGCUCCAAAUCCACCUGAGCGUCUAAAUCUGGAUCAUACCAGCAAAACAUCUCUGAACAAGGUCGAGAGCAUGCCAAAUGUGUCCGAAGAAGAAGAGCAGGGCAAACGAAGCAUGUCCAAAGUAAACCAACCCCUUGGACUACUACGAAAACACCAUCGGAUUUCAAGUAGCACGAUCUAAUUCAAAAAUUCACCCAAUUGUGCGCGUCUAGCAUAUUUUUCACAGUAGCAGGAUCACUAUAACUGACUCCAUUUAGUUCACCACCAUAGAACUCAACAGUUACACCUACUGUUCAACACUAUACUUCGAUUCUGCCCUUCGAAAGGAACAUCGGCUCUAACAAUUCCGUCUCCGUCUACCAAAACAACCGGAAAUGUUCAAAAAAAGUAGGCAUACGACGUACAAAAGCUCACGCCCUUCUUUAUCUCUAAAUAGAGGAUGUCCUAACCACCCAAUAGCUAUCCAUCCCCGUUAUCCAUUGACCUGCUCUGAACAAUCCACCCUUUGCCGGAUAUUUCGAUGUAUCAUAAAAGCUAAUUUUCAGGAAUUUUAGACCAAGCUUCGGAUAAGCUUUGAUUUCAGCCAGCCCAGUACCAACUCUUCGAUAUAUUCUGCUGGAGUAUCCUUGAUCCCAUUGAUAACGAGUGGGACCAAAUAUUCAAUGGGGGUAGUUGCUGAACCAUACCACAUAGUUCCAGCAACAACAAAAGCUGCAAAAAAGACAGCAGCGAUACUACUGGAAAGCACGGUUUCAUAUUUCCCAUACGUAUCCUUUGUAUAGACGUUGCAGCAGGGACACUAAGAUGGAAUAGGCCCGCCAAUAUGCCCAUGUCCCUGCUGCAUAUGAUGAGAGGCUAUUCCUCCCGGACAAAGGAUCAAAACCUUCCACACCCCACGCUGGAUUACAGAUUGUACUUUUCCGGUUAGCCCAUAAGGAUCAGACACCCAUAUUCCAGGACCAUACAAUCCUGUUACAUGAAAAGCACCAAACCCAAAACAAGCCACUCCUGAGAGAAUAAAUGAAUUCCAAGAUCUUGGGCAAAUCUAAAGAAGGUUUCCUGUACGUUCAUCACAAAAGAUUUCUAGAUCCCAAUACACCCAAUGCCAGAUAGCUGCCAAGAAGCACAAGCCAGAAAACACAAUAUGCGCCCCAGCCACACCUUCAUAACUCCAAUACCCGGAUUCGUUAUAGUUCCUCCUGUAAUACUCCAACCACCCCAUGAAUUGGUAUUCCUAAACGAGUCAUGAAGGGUAUAACGAACAUACCUUGUCUCCCAUUGGAUCGAGAACGGGGUCAGAAGGAUCAAAAACUGCUAAUCAUAUAGAGCCAUCGAGCCGGCCCACCAGCAACCAAGCUGUAUGCAUAUAUGGACAGCCAGCAACGACCGGGAUCAUUCAAUACGACGGUAUGAACACGAUACCAAGGCAAACCCAUGGAUACCCCUUAUCAACGAAAGAUAGACACUAUGUACUUUAUUGCACUGGAAAAAACUAUGUUAUGACCUCCCUUUUUCAGUGGAUUAUCUCGGAGAAAGGAUCCAUUUUUUUUUUAGUAUUUAGUCAGAUGUCACAUUCUGUUGUAGGACAAAGAGAAGCAGAUCUAUUCUAUACCAGAUAAGUACCAAUACGCAAUGGGAGUUGACUCCAUUUUAGAUGAGCGAAUGCAUACGGAUUUGUUCAUCAUUCAAAGAGCCUAUUCGUAAGAAUUUGACUUUAAUUCAUUUUGUCUUCUUUUUUUUUAUGUUAUGAACUUAUCGAAUCUGCGCAAAUAACAAAUAAAAUAAAACAAAAAAAUAAAGAAAAUAGAAAAAAUAAUAAAAUAAAAGCCAAUAUCCAAUAUAAUAUUAUAAGACAUAAAUUCAUAUAAUAUUAUUAAGACAAUAAAUUCAUUGUUACGCUUUCACAUCAAAGUGAAAUAGAGUACUCAUUUUUUUUUAUUUCAUUAAUGCCUAUUGGUGUCCAAAAGUCCCUUUUCGAAAUCCCGGAGAGGAUAGUCAAAUUGGAUUGACGUAUAGUGCGACUGUCAGAGACAUUGGGUCAUUAUGGGAUUUCCCGUUCUCUACCCGAUCGAGAUAUCCUCUGUUCACCAAAGAAGGAUUGAUUAAAUCAUCCAAAAAUAGAGCGUGAAGUGCAAUAAAGUGCAAUUAGAUCUAUGCUUUGGAGUAUUCAGAUUAAUAUUAUCAAUUAGAAUAUUUAUGGUUAGCUUGUUGGACCAAGAAAAUGAAGUAUCCAGGCUCCGCUUAGAAAACCCAAUUAGUACUAUAUCCAUGAUUACUAUUGUAUCAUAUCUAUUUAUAAAUUUAUAAAUUAGAAAUAGGAGUAAUUUAAAACUACUAAUCAUAAUCAAUCGAAUAAUUUGAUAAUACGUCAAAUAUUUGUGGAAGACGUGAAAUAAAUGAAAAAAAAAGGAAGUUGUAGCAAAAGACACGGUAUUGGGGGCAUUUGCCCUAUAUGUGCAAUCCAAAUCGGGCAGAUCUUACUCGGAGUAGAGCACAAACCUAAAAGAAUAAAGAAGCCCACUCAGGAACAGAGAAUGUAUCGUGAUUUGAAUUGGAUCCGAUGAAAGAAUACAUCAAUGAGAAGUUAGUUUGAUAAGUUAAUGAAUUUUUUUUUAUUUAUAGGUAAACGGGUAAAAAAGGUAAACGGGUAAAAAACCAUCUUUCUUGAAAAUGGAGGAAAACCCCUUCGUUAUUCGUUAAAUGGGAUCUACAUAUUGAUUCUUUUUUCGCGAUUUUGAUGAACCGUAUGCAUCAAAAGGUGCAUGUACGGUUCCUAAGGGAUAGAAUUUGAUCCUAAUCAACCGACUUAUCGAGAAAGAUUACUUUUUUAGGUCAAGAUAUUGAUAGUGAGAUCUCGAAUCAACUUAUCGGUCUUAUGGUAUAUCUCAGUACAGAAAGUGAGAUCAAAGAUUGUAUUUGUUUAUCAACUCUCCUGGCGGAUGGGUAAUACCCGGAAUAGCUAUUAUGAUACUAUGCAUUUGUGCGACAGAUGUACAAACAGUAUGCAUGGAUUAGCCGCUUCAUGGGAUCUUUUAUCCUGGUCGGAGGAAAAAUACCAAACGUCUAGCAUUCCCUCACGCUGGCGCCAAUGAGUUUUUAUUUUAUUGAAAGAAAAAAGAAAACUAUGCCUUCGCCAUAUGAAAUAUGAAUAUUAAGUAAUAAUAGCAUGGCAUUUCGAAUUCAUAUAAGAAAUUUUUUUAUUUCGUUUAACAUUAGAUUAUGUAUGAAAGAGUAGUAUGAGAUAUUAAGGGUAGUUCCGAUUUAUCGGGAGCCUAUUUCAGUGUCGCAAACUUUUUUUUUGUUUCACACCAGAAGGUCUUAAUGCUAUUUAUAUUAUUAUGAAUUAUGAAAGAGGACAAAAAAAAAAAAGAUUAUAUUCUUUUUCUUUUUUUUUUAUUGAAAAAAAAAAGAACUUUGGGAUUGCUAAAUCACCGAUGAAAUAAAGCAACGGAGCCACCAUAGUAUUUUGUUUUUCUUAAUUCCUCCAAGGAAAGGGUGGUCAUUGUAUCAUUUACCGACCUAGCUUUGUAGACUCUCCAUUUUUCUUCGGUAAAAGUGAUUCUCUUGUAGAGCCGUAUGCAAUGCGUAAGCAAUGCCUGUACGGUUGUUCAAUUCUAUCUUUUUUUUUUAUCUUUAUCUCUUCUCGUGACCUUCUUAUGCGAGAUAAAGUACCCUUUAUUAUCUUAUAUCAUCAGGGUAAUGAUCCAUCAACCUUUUGCUGCUUUUAUGAAGCACAAAUAGGAGAAUUUGUCCUGAAGCGGAAGAACUACUGAAACUGCGCGAAUCCUCACAAGGGUUUAUGCACAAAGAACAGGCAAACCCUUAUGGGUGUAUCUGAGACAUGGAAAGGGAUGUUUUUAUGUCAGCAGCAGAAGCCCAGUUCAUGGAAUUGUUGAUCUUGUAGCAGUUGCAUAAAAAAUAGCAGGAAUUCACACAAAUCGCGAUUUGAGAUUUAGUUUCUUACCGAGGUUCAUAUUCUAUUAAUUUGAAUUUUAUUAAUUUUAUAAAAUAUUAAAUAAAUAUUAAAAUAGAAUAUGAAUAUAGAAAGAAUCAUAAUCAUCCGGUUAGGAUCGAUCUAACCAGCCCAUUAUGCAUACGAUUCACAUGCCAACUAUUAAACAACUUAUUAGAACACAAGACAGCCAAUCAGAAAUGUCACCAAAUCCCCGCUCUCGGGGGAUGCCUCAGCGCCGAGGGACAUGUACUAGGGUGUAUGUGCGACUCGUUCAGAUUCAGAUUGUGGGUUGGACAAAAGAAAGAAUUUUCCACUAUCCGUGAUCAGUACCGAUGAAUAGGAUAGAAUGGAAGACUCCCCUUGACUAUCUAAAAUGAAAAAAAAAGAUCUAGAAUAUGCUUCUAUUGUGUAUCAAAUUUAUGGUUUCUAUUGGUGCAAAUUCAAUUACCUCAAUUUUCAAUGAAAAUGCGAAAGAAUCCCCAUUGGUAGCAAUGAUUAUCUGUUAAGCAGGGCAAUCUUAUUUAAAUUAAAAAGCCGAAAAUGGAUGCCUCUACUCUUGCAAGAACGGACUAACAAGGUCAGCUAAUCAGCUAAUCCACAUAAUUAAAUACCGUUACUGUAAAACGGAUCUCGUUGUGAAAGACCUACUACUGGGGAAUCAUGGGUAGAGCCAAAAAGUGUAAACUGUACAAGUUAACAAUAGCAUGAUUCGAUCAGUAAGGGGCUCCGGUGUAUAGAGAGGACUCGCCGUUUAAGAAUAACCAUAGAAACGAUGGACCCACUAUUUAUUUAUCCAUUUCUAUUACUACUAAUUACUACUUAUUUUAUUUACUAUAUUUUUGUUAUUUUUGUUUGAUACCUAGUACCAAUAAGAUUCUUAUUUCAGGCGAAAUGCUUAUAAAAAAAAAAAGAAAAAUAGUGGUGGGAAGGUUAGAGUAGCAAAAGCCGUGGAAUUAUUAUUUUAUACAUUGGAAGAUCCGUUUUGUUAUUCUAGAAAAGGGAAAAAGAAUAACUGAAAGAAGGAAUCAAUUAGUUAUUUAUCAAAGUUUCGUUUAUUCAUGACCAGAAUUAGACGAGGAUAUAUAGCUCGGAGGCGUAGAACAAAAAUUCGUUUAUUCACAUCAAGCUUUCGUGGGGCUCAUUCAAGACUUACUCGAACUAUGAUCAACAAAAAAUAAAAGCUUUGUUUCGGCCUAUCGGGAUAGAGAUAGGCACAAAAGAAUUUUCGGUGUUUAUGGUCACUCGUAUAAUGCAGCAAUUCGAGAGAAUGGAGUAUCCUAUAGUUAUAGUACAUUAAUAAACAAUCUGUACAAGAGACAGUGCUUCUUAAUCGUAAAUACUUGCACAACUAGCUAUAUUAAUAGGAAUUGCCUUAUCUGAUUUCCAUGACAUGAUAAAAUAAGGAGAUUGGAAGGAUCCUUCGGAAUGUUUGACUUUGACAUGGAAUUACUGGAAAAUGAAUUCCGGGAAGGUAGAUAGAAUAAGUAUGAUAAAUAUGAUCAUAUAUGAUCAAGUAGUCAAACUGAACAAAAACAUUCAAUAAAAAAUAUUUAUUUUUUAUUUACUUUACCCAAUUCGUUUUUUUUUACGACACGACAAUAAAUCUGUAUUCCUGGAUUUUCUCGAACAAAACAUCAACCGACGUUAAGUUCGGAUUGAAUUUUGAUCAAUUAAAGAGUAAGCCUAUUUUUUCUGGUUCUAAGACCCGUAGUUCGAGCGACCAACUCGUUUUUUUCAAUUGUCUUUCAUUAUUAAGAAAGGGUAUGAAGAUAAAUACGAGCUUGUUUAUAGCAAUGGUAAUUAAUCGUUGUUGUUUAAAGUCAAUCUAUUCACCCGUCUAGAUAAUAUUUUCCUUGUUCACUAAUAAAUCGACUAAUUAACUCAUGUUUCUAUAAUCAAUUCGAUCCCCCGAUCCAUCGGGGGCAGACGCCUACGAGAGAUCGCUGGGCUAAGAAAAGUCGCUGGAUUUAUCCAUGGCUGUUUAUUUUAUUCCUUUUUUCGAGAUCCUAUUUCCUUUGAUCGGAUCAAAAUGCUAAUGAUUUCGAAUUAAGAAUAGGAUUUUGCUUAUUUCUAUUUAAUAUAUAUAUUACAUAUGAUAUGCUAAUAUAUGAUAUGUCAAUAUGUCAUUUUCAUCUUCCUUGUAAAGUCACACGCAGUUGAUCGAUUCCAUCUAUUCUUUAUCUCCCCGUGAAUUGUAUGUUUGUACAAUAGGGACAGAAUUUCUCAACUCCAAUCGACUAGGCCUAUUGUGUCGAUCUUUUGAGUAUAUAUCUAGAAAUGCCUAUUGAUUUCUUAUUACACUCUUUCGACACAACUGGUACAUUCUAAAAUAACCCUUAUUCGGACGUCUUACCAUUGGCCAUGACCUCCUUUUGGUUUUAUUCACUCAACUCUUCUAUUUUCCUAUCCGAAACGAAGAAGAAAGAAGGAAAAAUACAAGUUACUAACUCGAAAUCAAUUAUGAAAGAUUUUGUUGCCGCCAUAUAGUAAUAGUAAAAAUAAGUAAUACAAUGAUUAAAAUUAUAUUUACAUUAGAAGUAUAUUUAGAUUAGAAGUUUAGAUUAGAAUAGAAGUACAGUCUUCUAUUUAUUUCAACUUCUUGUAUGAUACUGUUGCCCUAACCGCAUUCCACUUCUGUUCUCUUAAUUUAUUAAGGAUUUAAUUAAAGUAAAUUUACUUGAAGUUGAACCCAGUUCCGUGUUUGGCUGAGGUUGAUCCACUUUAUUCUUUCUCUUUUCUAACUUAUUCGAAUAGAAAAAAGGGGGUAGUAGUCAGAGAUAUUAAUUGUGUCUCUAAGUUUCUUCACCCCCCGUGUUAUAACUAGAAUGAAAAAAAAGGGAAUGUCAAGCAUCCGGGAAAAACGAUUGAUCUCUAUCAUAGACCUGCUAAAGACCCGAACAUAGAGUACUUAUUACUGGCGCUACGGAUAGAUAUGUUUUAGAUCUCGCAUAAAAAAUCCUCCUUCUGUAUCUUUAUUGUAUACAUAACGGCAAUACAUAUAUGAUCAGAUGUAUAUAUGUAGUUAAAUUAAAGACACUCGCAUUUGUUUUGUACGCGGAAUUCUUAAUUCAAAUUGAGAAAUGUACAAUAAUUUGAUAGAUAAGAUUUCCUCUUCUUUUCUUAAAGAACAAAUACGUCUCUUUCCGUCUGGGCAUCACGAAAUUUACGGCGGGUUCCUAUUUUUUUUUUCAUAUGUAUAUAAGUUUAUUAUUAUAUGUAUUAUAUGUUAUAUGAUAUGAGACAAAAAAAAAGAAGAAUGGCAGAUAAGUUAUGUAUCUCAAGGAGAAAAUGAAAUGAAAUAAGUAUGUGGAAACAGACAGGGAUCUCUACAUGACAUUGUAGACCAAUGAAAGGGAUGUAGCGCAGCUUGGUAGCGCGUUUGUUUUGGGUACAAAAUGUCACGGGUUCAAUCCUGUCAUCCCUACUUAUUACUUCGCCUCUGAGCAAUACAAUAACAAGGGAUCAAUUGAGAUCAAUUAAAUUGGGCAUACCUAAUCAUAAAUUAUAUGAUAUUCUUUAAUAUCAUAUUAUUAUUUAUUAUAUUUAUAUAUAAUAUAGUUAUAUAUGAGAUAGUAUAGGCAUUCAAGAUGUAGUGGAGUAAAAAAAAAGAUCUUUUUACUUACAGCUUUCUUUUUUGUAAUAAAAAAGCGCUCUUAGUUCAGUUCGGUAGAACAUGGGUCUCCAAAACCCAAUGUCGUAGGUCAAAUCUACAGAGCGUGAGUCCAUUCUUGUUUUGUUAAGUCAAAAAUUUAGGGAAAAGCUUGACAUCAAUCUUAAUUUGACCUCCUGUGGAUAAAAAAAGGAGGAGGUCAAAAAAAAAGGGUAUUAAUUAUCAAGAUCCACUGGUCACCACGUCUGUAUUGUAAUAAGCAGUUACGAAUAAUCCAGCCAAAGUAAUAGGAAUUAGACCUAAGACGAUCCAAAUAGAAAAACUUCAUCAUUUCAUUUGUUUGAAAGAGGAAAAGGAGGUAAUAUCUAUCCUUAAAUAUUAAUGCAUAUGCCCAUAAAUCUCAAUAACCAAGAAUGGAAAUUGACACGGUAAGGAACUAGAAAAUGGAAUACUGCAAAAAAAAAAAUCUUUUUUUUUUUUUUAUGAAUUGUUCAUUCAAUUAAUUUCAAUAAGUCGUAUCUUGCUCAGACUAAUAAAUAGAACUAAAGUUAUAGUUAAAGCUACUAACAGAAAACCAAAAUAACUAGUUAGAGUGGGCAUGAAGGAGCUAAAUAAACUAUUUUUUUUUUAUCCAUAUAUUUGUAAAUACUUUCCUAAAUUCAAUUUUUAAAGAUACGAAGAUAAGCAAAAAUACCAAUUGAAAGUUUUUUAUUUAUUAAUCAUUUAUCAAUCAUUAUCAUUAUAGAUUAUAGACAACACUCAAAAAAAAAGAGCGAUAUAAGUAGAAAAAGAAAUCACUCAUCAUCUAAAAAUCUACCUAUCCUAUCUCCGAAUCAAAAGAUUCAUUGGACAACUCUGAGAAAUAAAAGAACAACUAAAUUGAAAUAUUAAAGAAAUAUUAAAAUAAUAAUAUAUUAGAAAAACUGUGUUGUAUAACUUCAUUCAAAGAAACUGUCUUGAAUCAAAUCACUAUGGAAAUCGCUACGGAAUAAAAUUGGAAAUCAUUUCUAUGUUGAUCACUUCUUUUAGUUUAUUUAUUUAUUUGUAUCGAAUCCAUUUUUUUUUUAGAUUUAGAACGAAAAGUACCCUCUAUUUUUCUUUAUAAUAUCUUUUACUUUUUUUUUCUUUCCAUAUUAAAAUAAAAAAAAAAAACCUCUUGUAGUUAAUUAAGUAUCAAGAAAAUCAAGAAAAACCUUUGCAUCGAAUACAAGAACAAGAAUACACACAUUCAGAAUAUGAUUUACAUUAUUUUUUCGCUGUUCUCUCGCUCCCUCUCCCCAUCUCUCUUUCUCUCUCUUAGCAUUCCUUAAAUGAAAAAAGGAUUUCAACAAAAAACUCUUAUUCUACAAGUACGAAGGGGAGGGGGUUAGAUUUCGCAUCUAAUUGAAUUGUGAAUUCGGGGAAUAGGCUAAUCUCUUUUAUGAUUUUUAUUUAUGAAUUUUUAUUAUUAAUUAUUAGAAAACACCCGUCAAAUUCACAUUUUCUCUAAUCUAUGGUACACGGUUCUACAGUGACAAGAAAAAGAAAAGACUAAGAAAUUAUAUAGGACUUCGUUUCGAGACUGAUUGGAGUUGCGUUGCUGCGUCAGAAGAAGAUAGCUAUACUGAUUUGGUAUACUUUAAAGAAACCUCGGUACGAUAUUGACGAUCUCACAAAGAUGAAUUUCAGUGAAUUUCAUUUACUGAUCUCGUCUUUUACGGAAUCGAUCCCCUUUGACUGUACAAGAAUAUGUGGAGCUCGCAUGUCUGGAAGCACAGGAGAACGUCUUUUGCUGAUAUUAUUACCAGUAUUCGAUAUUGGGUCAUUCAUAGCAUUACUAUACCUUCCCUAUUCAUUGCAGGUUGGUUAUUCGUCAGCACAGGUUAGCUUAGGAAUUCCCUUAAUAACUGGCCGUAUGAAUAUUUACAGAGAGCCGACAUUUAGUAGAUCUUUUUAGGUUAGGAGGGCCCAAUGACUAUAGAUCGAACCUAUCCAAUUUUUACAGUGCGAUGGCUUGCUGUUCACGGAGUACCUACCGUUUCUUAGUGCGAUGGCUUGCUGUUCACGGACUAGCUGUACCUACCGUUCUUUUUUAAUAUUAAUUAUAAAGCUAACACAAUCAAACCCGUACGAACUGAAUUAUAUUAAUUAUAAAGCUAUGACACAAUCAAACCCGAACGAACUUUUGUACUUGCUGUUUUAUUUUCUAAUUAUUUCUUUAAUUAAUAUUCAUUUUUGUACUUGCUGUUUUAUUAUUUCUUUAAUUAAUAUUAAAAUUAAAUAUUAAUUAAAAUUCUUUAAUUAAUAUUUAAUUAAUAAUUAAAUAUUAAUAAAAAAGGAAAAGAGAGUAUUAGAAUAAUAAUUAUCUAUGACUGUUCAUGUCUCUAGCAGGACCACUUGAUUAAUGUGGAGGGAAGUGGGAUAAAUGGCCGAUACUACUGGAAGGAUCCUCUUUGGAUAAUAGGUACUGUAACUGGUAUCCUGUGAUCGGUUAAUAGGUAUUUCUUUUAUGGCUCCUAUUCCGGCUUGGGUUCAUCCCUGUAGUAAUAGGAUGAACUGAGUUGUAGACAUGAAAGCGUAAGAACUCAACGGCAUCCCCGUCGAAUCAGACAGAAAAAGGGGGCGCUGCUGAGUUCUUAAUAUCAUAUACUUUAUUCGUAUAAAUGACAAAUGAAUCCAUUUUAUGAAUUACAUUCUUCUGAUAUUUUAAAUAUUUCAAAAAAUCCAUUACACUUUUUUCUGGGUGGUGCUUGUAAAAAAGUACUUCAUUGAUUGAUUCAGAUAUUUUUUCCUCGAUAGUAUCUUAUCUAUCAAUACUGUUAGAAGAAAGAAGGAUUGCUAAAUUUCUUUCCUGGAUCACAUAUAAUAUAUAUAUAUAUAUAUAUUUAUAUUUUUUUUUUGUUUUCUGUCGAUCCGAUAUGAAGUUCUAUUGCUCAAAAAAUUUUCCUUUCUUGAAGAAUAGGAAUCUUUGAUGAAUGGUAUAAGAAUCAUUAUUAUUUCGACACAAGCAAAGGGGGGGGGUGGAAAAUUCCUUUGCUUGUGUCGAAGAAUAAAAAGACAAAUAGAAGAUAUCCCCUAUAAUAUUUUGUUUACCUCAUUAACCUUUUCUUUCCGCUUAGUUAUCUAUGCUUAGUAUCAGUAUUUAGUCGAUUUGAUUCUAUUAGAAUAGAAAAAAGCUAUGGAUACAUUGUAUCACAGCUAAAUCUGUGAAUAGUGACAUAAUCGCACCACUCCAAUUUAGAUGGAAAAGAGGGGAUAAAGUCAAAUAGUCUUCUUACCAAUAUACAUACUAAAUAUAGAAAUGUGGUACAAGUAAUUCCCCUAAUUCGGUAUAAAAAAAAAAUAUAACAAAAGCAAAACAAAAGUCUUUUCGCAAUUUUUUUUUUUUUUAUCAUACAGAAUUCCAACAAAAAUUUUGUUCUUUUUAAGAAAUAAGAAAAGAUAAGAACUUGAUGUUGAUAAAUUCGCAAUCUAGAAAUCAUUUCGGACAAUUGACCUUCUCAAACUGUUUCUUUUAAGAACCAAAAAGAUUUGUGCCAAAAUAACGGAUGCCAAGAAGAACAAAAGGCCUGGACACGUAAUGGGUCUUGAAGUACUAUUUCUGCGUCUCCCUGACCAAAUCCGCCCACAUUAGGAUACUUGUUAAUGGUUGAUCGAGUUUGAUGGAUUCGCCUUCUGAAACAAGAAGUCUGUUCGUUCGAAAAAUUCCUACCUCUUGACGCCCCUCUGGCGCAUCUGUAUAGUUAUUUCGUACCCCCCUUUUCUUUUCGUAUGAUUUGCUUACUAUACCCGCUGCUGUAGCAUUAUAAACCGUAUUGUUACUCUUGCUCCCGUCGGGAUAAAUCUGACCCCUUCCCUGUUCCCGCCUACGUAUAUGGGAUAUUUUAAGAAGUGAGCAUCCUUCUUAGCAGCAGGGUCCGGAGAAAGAAUAGGAAAGGUGAUUUCACUAUAUUUUGACCAGGAACGGGACCUAUCACAAGAAUAUUUUUUUUAGCGGGGCGAUAACUCUGAAAAGAGAGAUACCUAUCUUUUCUUUCAUCUCUGGCGAAAUACGAUCAGGAGGGGCUAUUCAAACCCCUCAGGUAAAAUAAGACAGCCCCCACAUUCAAAGCUCCCUUUUACCAUAGCAAGAACUUGUUUUAGUUGCAUAUCAUAAGGAAUUCGAACAACUGCUCAAAUACAGUAUCAGGAAGUACCGCUUGUGGACCUCAAUACCCACGGGCUUAUUAGCUAAAUGACAAUUCGCGCAUACAAUACGACCAGUUGCUUCGCGCGGAUUUUCAUAACCCUGCUGGCAAAAAUGGGAUAUGCAUUUGAAAUGUAUGCCCCAGUUAUUAUAUAUAUCAUGAGCGAUACGGAAAUGGAGCGAGUAAUCUCUUCCUUUAUCCAGAGAGGGUCUUUCUAGUUUGCAUGGUCCAGUCGUGAUCCAGAAAAUUCUACAAUAAAAUUAGGUAGGUCGCUAGGAUAGUUCCCUAUCCACGAUGCUGCUAGUUACUGAAAAAUUUUACUAAAAUACUAAAAUAUAGGAGGAUCCGAAUCUCUUGGAUGUAUAGAAAAAAUAAGUGUAUAAAAAAAAAAGUAAGAUUUGAAUAUUUUAUUUUACUUAUGGACAAAUAACAAAAUUCUAAUUGGAUCGGUGGAUCAUUUUCAGUCAUUCAUUGAAUGAUAAAUCACUACAAGUGACGGAGAUACACGAUUUAAUAACGGAAGAUCCAAUAUUUAAAAUUGUAUCGAAAAUUACUGGAAAGGUGAAACAAGUCCAGAUAUAAUUUGAUCAUUAUGAGCAAAUCCAAAUCCUUGUAGAAAGAGCUAAUCAUUAGUUCCCAACCGUGGGUGAAUGGAAUCCUAUACAUAAGUCGGUAAUAAAAGAAUAGAAAGGCUUUUAUCGUGUCGCUUAAGUAUAUAUGAAUUCUUGAACCCAAGAAUUAAGAAUAAAAAGUUCUUCACUAAAAAGAAUAACCACUUAGAAUAACGAACAGAUAUAUUGUCGAGAGUGCAAAUCGUAUCUAUACGAUCUGCGUUGUGCAUCUGAUCAAUUGGAUCGUUUCUUUGUGGAUCCGAUACGAAACUUUGUAGAUGUGUUUCGGGGUAUCCUUUAUCAUUUCGUCCAACAGGAAGAGUCCUCAAAUUCUAUUAAUUUUUCUGAAUACUCUUUUCUUGAAUAUCAUUUAAAAAGUUUCGGAUUUACUAGUAUUCCACCAAUUAUAAUCCAAGAUCCCAGACUUUUAUAAAGAAAAAGAGACCACCAGGGCAAAAAUACUAUAGACGUAGAUAUAGAAGGGGAUGAAUGCUUUUUUUCCAUUUUUCGUCUGUGAUUUUUAAUGAAUCCGCUUCAUUCGUCAACUCUAUACGAUCUAAUAUUUCUAUCAAGCAUAAGUUCUAUUCUAAUAUUAGAUAUUAGAAUUUAGAUAGAAGCUUCGAACCCGCGAAUCUAUUCCCUCUUUUUAUUUGUGAGUCAGUGGUUAGUCCUUGAAUUUUGUGAAUUACAUACGCAUAAAAAAAGUCCGUUUUCGAAUUUUUCCGUUUUCCGUAUAUAUUCCGUAUAUAUAAUAUACGUCUUCUUUGGUCAUCAGUAUUAUGAAUAAAUUAAGUUAAGUUAUGUUAUAGAAAAAAAAAAAAGAGGAUUUUUUGGUUUUUUACCUCCUGCUAAGAAAGUGCUUCGGUUUAUUUCAAAUACUUCAAUUGGUACACGCAAAAAAUAGGCCAAUUCCGCUGCUUUGCUCAAAUUCUCAUCAGUACGAGUAUCAGUACGAGUCAAAGGAAUCUGAUUUCCAUAUAGUAAGAUGCGACGACUCUUUAACUUCUAUUCUGAUAGACUGAAUAUCUUCUUUCAUAAAGAGUAGAUGCGACGAUUUUUCCUGGAAUCCCCAACGAAAAAUACACACUAUCCUCUUUUCUAUCGAAUCGAUCAUAACCACUACCUACAUUCCACGAAAUUGUGCACCACAAAUAAGAGCUAAUAAACAGACCGGCGAGCCCAUAGAAAGACAUCACGAUCCCUUGUGAAAAAAAAGGAUUUGCUGAGACGGGAAUAAGAUAUCAAAUUUCUGUCAAGAUAACUGGAAAUCCAAUCAAUAAAACCCCAAUGAACCUAAAAAAAGUAUAUGGCCCAGCAGAAAUUACUUAUUUUUCGAGACCCGCUAUAAGUUCUAUCCAUAUAUGUUCUGAUCGCCAACUCAUACUAGAUCUAGUUGCAUUUAUUGGAAGUGGGAGACCGGCCAAAUGAAUUUUACUUUACGUUUUUUGUUUCCGAAGGACUUUCAUCAACUUGCACUAUUCUGAUGUGAUCUUUCGAAGCAAUUCGUUAGAUCUAAAAGUAAAUAAUAGGAGCCCCUCAUAUGAUCCCCUAUCUACACAUACUACACAUAUAUAGCUACAUGGGCUUUGCAUUAUUUCAGGCAUCCGCCCCAUCGCGACUUAUUUUCACAAAUAGCUCGUUUACUCAUAUAUCAUAUUUACGUUUACGCCUGCCCUUUCUUUUCUGUUGAAAGAAGCCACAAGGUAUACAUAUAUACUGAUAGAUAUCUGUGUUAUGAUCCAAGUCUAAGUCUUGAAAAAAAAAAUAGAUGAAAUUUGUCCCCAUCAGAUCUAAAAAUCUUGUUUUUUUGACAUGAAGAGAUAAAGAAGCCAUUGCAUUGCCGGAAAUACUAAGCCCACUAAAGGCACAAAAAUAGAGGGUAAGUUGUUGAGAAUUGUCAUAGAAUGGGCACCUCGAUUUAAUAUUUGUACCUGUUAUUUAUUUAUUGUUAUAUUAAUCUUUUUACCUAUUAUCACUAUAUUAUAUUGUUAGAAAGAUAUCUUAAUAGAAGGAUCUCUUAAAAUUAUUAGAAUUCCUAUAUAAUUAUACUAGUAUAUCUAGUGAGUAUAUAUAAGAAAGUGCAAGGAAUAUAGAACUAACUAAAUGGACUUAUUCAUUUUCUACAUGAAAUACAUGUAUGAUAAUCCACUUGUUUGUUAUUCUUCUAUUAUCUUUUUCUUGUCUUAUAAUUUGAAUUUAUAAUUUGAAUUAAUAAAGAGUUUCUUCCCCUUAUAAAUUAUUCCAAAUUCGUUAUAGUUUAUAGUUAUAAUAUAAUACGAAAGGAAGAAAGAACAUAGGAAGAAAAGACAUGAAAUUCGUUUAUUUAUUAUUAAUUACUACCUGUACCUGCCCAAUUGAUUUCGCGGAAAAGAUUCGCUCUUUAUCUUGUCAUAGAGGUUUCCUAAUUAGGAAUCAGGAUAUCGGUAAAAAAAAAUAUCUGUAUGAUUCUUUCCAUAAUUUCCUCUUAUGUCACCAAAAAAAAUCCAUUCUUCGGAUUUUCCUUUGAUUCCGAUAAAUAAUACUUAUUCUAAUAGUAUUCGCCAGAAAGAAAAUAAUUUAAGGAAUUCAAUUUAUUAACUAUUAACUUAAGUUAAGGUCUACUAAGUUAUGAUCAAAGGAAAGAAAGCGUGGAGCUGAAAUACUCACUCAGAACGCCCUUAACAGAUUACGUGGUACGAUUGGAUCGAAUAAGCCCUUAUGGAAUAAAAAUUCAGCCGCUUGUGACCUUCAGGUACUGUCUUAUUCAUGUUUGUUCAUUACUCUUUUACCUGCAAAUGCAUGUAGGCGUUGGGUCAGCAAUAAUGAUAUCCCCCAACAUACCAAAACUAGCUGUCACCCACCAGUCGUAGGAGAUGUAAGGAUUGAUACAUAAACUACUUUUUAUUCGAUUGAUAAUCAUAUAAAGCGGAAGAAAUUUAGCCAUUUGCAUCAAGCUCAAACUUCCUUCUUGCAUGCGUGCUCCUCCGGAAGCACACACUAGAAUAAAAAAUUGAUUGGUAGCAUUAACGAGUAUUUUCUCGCCUACUACCGAUCCCAUACUACCCCCCAUAAACUGAAAUCCAUAACCCCAAUUGCUACGGGAUGCCGUUUAGUUGACCUAUGCCGGUUUGAUGGCCUCGGUUAUCCUGUCUUUUUUGAUAAGAAUCAAUACGAUCUUUAUAAGGUCCUCCUCUGAUGAAGUCAAUGGGAUCCAGAGAGACAUCUCCUCAUCCAUAGGAUCCCAGUGCCUGGAUCAAUCGAAGUUCAAUUCUAUCUGAACUACUCAUUUUCAAUGAUAUCCACAUUGUUCACAAAUAUUCAUUUUGAUUUAAAAUUUCUUAUAAUUAAUCCAUAACAAAUUUCACAUGAACCCACAAAUGCUUGUAUUUUGAGUUACGCCGAGAUCAUUAGAUUUUCUCUUAGAGCGAAAUCGCUGCCGUUCGUGCUAGUUCUUAGCCUGGAUUCCCGGUUUCACUACUUCUCUACUUUCAAGUAGAAAUGUAACUUUCGCUGUACUUUCACUACCACUUAAAUAGAACUUAAAAUAGAACUAGCAAUCCCGAUUUGAGAACGAAGAUAACUGUCAAUGCACUAUAUUUAUAUCAUACAUAGAAUAUCAUAGUGGGAUCGUCACUCCUAGACCCCUUAUUUAAUAACUAGAAUUCCAAUAACUAGAAAAUCUUUUUCUAAUUUACUCAAAAAAGAAUGAUUAUGUCAAUGUCAAUCCCAAAAACAUAUCAAAUAUAUGGAAUAACCGUCUUUUUUAUAUCCCUACCUAAAACUAAAAAGUGUCAUCCACGUUUAAUUCCGAAUGUCCCUAACGCCGACUAAAUGAUCAACAUCACUAUGACUCCAUUAUACAAUAUUUUUCUGUAUCAUUUAGAAUCGGUCUUCACUUACACUGGUAUUUCAAGAGGACCAAGAUUAUCCAUUGAUUACUUAGCCUACACCUGUAUUCUAACUCCACAUUGGAUAACAUCGAAUGAACCAACAUUUUUCAUAGAGCUUUCUUGCCGCUAUUACAUCAAAAUAAAUAGAUGUAUAGUCAUCGAUGAAAAUCAUUUGAUAUUUCAUUUCCUCUCAGAAUAGCAUAUAUAUCGAAUAAGCAUCUAAUCCAAUCACUAGGAUUAUAAGUAAUAAAGAGUGGAUAUGAAAAAUGAAAAAUAAAUAAUUAUAAAUUUAUAAAUAAAUAGGACUUAUCAUGUGUGUCAAAUCGCAUCGAGAAAGAAAGAUUCUUUUCUACUAGGAAUAUUAGGAAGACCUUUUUCGUAAAUCUCGUCUAUAAUACUUUCUAUUCCACAUAGAACGAAAGGACAAUAUACAGGAUGGGUAGAAGAAGUUGUGAUACUGGCCCGACCAUGACCGAAACUGCGAGAUAUAAAAGAAUACACAUCUUAGGAUUAUUAGGGAUCUAAGACAAGAGUAGAAAGGUUGAGUUCUUUGAGUCUUAUAUUUUGUAUUUAAGAUCUUGUAUAUUUAGCUAAGUAUGUAUCUAUCAAAAUAUAUACAAAUAUAUACAACAAAUAUAUACAUAGGCUAUUUGUAUUCGGCUCAAUCCUUUAGUAAAAGAUUGGGCCGAGUUUAUUUAAUUGCAUUCAUUACGAGAAUGAACAUUAAUUAGUGGAUUACACGUAUCCAUUGCUGGAAUCAAAUUUAAUCUCCUUCCAUACUCACAGCAGCAGCUAGUUCAGGGCUCCAUUGCUAGCUCACGGAUAUUUCAUACCCUCACGAGCAAGAUCACGUCCCUCAUUACGAGCUGUACACAUGCUUCUAGAGCUACUCGAUUAGCACGGCACCGGGUGCAUUUCCCCAAGGGUGCCCUAAAGUCCUCCACCGAAUUGUAGUACGGAAUCAUCUCCAAGAUCUCGGUCAGAGCAGGCAUAUGCCAAACGUGAUACCCCCCGAAGCCACGGGUAGACACCCGGUAGAGAGACCCAAUCUGAGUGAAUAAAUACCGCGGCUUCGAUCUUUUUCACAAAAUCAUCACGCAGUAAAUCAACAAACCCAAAGUUAUGUCUCUUCCCCUUCAAGUUUACCUACUACGGUACCAGAGUGAAUAUGAUCUCCACCAGACAUACGUAAUGCCUUAGCUAGUACACGAAAGUGUAUACCAUGAUUUUCUGUCUAUCAAUAACUGCAUGCAUUGCGCGAUGGAUGUGAAGAAGUAAACCAUAUCUCGGCAAUAAUGAGCCAAACUAGUGUUUGCGGUGAAUCCCCCUGUAAGUAGUCAUGCAUUACGAUAGGACUCCCAAUUCUCUGGCAAUACAGCCUUUUGAUCAUUUCUUCGCAUGUACUGCAGUAGCGUUUAAAUAAUGCCCUUUGAUUUCACCGGUUUCAGCCUGUGCUUUAUAAGUGCUUCGGCACAAAAUAAGAAACGAUCUCUCCACGCAUAAAUGGUUGGGAGUCACGUUCUCAUCAUCUUUGUAAAAUCAAGUCCACCGCGUAGACAUCAUAAACUGCUCUACCGUAUUCUUAGCGGAUAACCCCAUUUAGGUUUAUAGUACAGCCAAUAGGGGGCGACCAUACUGUUCAAUUUAUCUCUUUCACUUGGAUACCAUGAGGUGGGCCUUGAAAGUUUUAACAUAAGCAGGAGGAUUCGCAAUCCUCAGACGUAGAGCGCGUAGGGCUUGAACCCAAAUACAUUACCCACAAUGGAAGUAACAUGUUAGUAACAGAACCUUCUUCAAAAGGUCUAAGGGUAAGCUACAUAAGCAAUAAAUUGAUUUCUUCUCCAGCAACGGGCUCGAUGUCGUAGCAUCGUCCCUUAUAACGAUCAAGACUGUAAGCCCGUCGGUCCACACAGUUGUCCAUGUACCAGUAGAAGAUCAGCAGCUACUGCGGCCCCUGCUUCCUCGGGCGGAACUCCAGGUUGAGGAGUACUCGGAAUGCUGCCAAGAUAUCAGUAUCUUUGGUUUCAUAGUCAGGAGUAUAAUAAGUCAAUUUAUAAUCUUUACACCAGCCUUGAAUCCACACCUGCUUUAGUCUCUGUUUGUGGUGACAUAAGCCCCUCCCUACACUCAUGAAUUAAGAAUUCUCACAGCACAAGGUCUACUCGAUAAGAAUUAGGAGUUAAUGAACCUUUCACAGGAUCUUUCACAAAAUUAUCAACCAAUACAAUAUUAUCAACUAAUCAGAAUUCAUUAUUAGACCAUGUAUUUGAUUCACCAAAUACAUCAUUAUUUUAUACUCUUCAUAUGUAUGGCGCAACCCAAUCCUUGUUUUCAGGUUUCUAAUCCUUAACUUUUUGAAUCAAAAUAUCUAAAUAAUAAGAAUCUCCUCUUGACAGUAAUAUAUGUUGUAUAUGUAAUCCUAGAUGUGAAACAUGCGGACUCGUCUAUGAAUAAAAAAAAAAAAGAAAAUUAUAAAAUAAUAAGAAUAGCUAGGUGUAACCGAUAUGCUAAUAUGCUCUAAUAUGCUAAAAUAAGAAAUUUAGGCCUAUGGGAUAGAAAUAAUGAAUCGUAAAUAGAAUUCAGGUUCGAAUUCCAUAGAUAAUAUGGAGAGUAUUGUCUAUAAUGAUAGACAAAUGAAAGCCUUCUGAAGCCUUUUUUUUAUUCAUUUACUUAUAUUUUGAAAAUGAGUUAGUUGAACUUAUCACUCAUGAAAUGAAAAUAGUAAACAAUUGAAUUGGAUUCGUUGGAGGGUACAACAAAAUUGAGUGCUACUCCCAUUUCUUAUUGAAUUAAUUAAUCAACUUGCUAUCGAACAUUAAUUUUGAACUCGAAAAUUUCGAAAAAAAAAAUUUGACCUAUUUUUUAUUUUAUUUAUUAUUAUGAGAAUCAAUCCUACUACUUCUGGUCCUGGAGUUCCGCGCUUGAAAAAAAGAACCUGGACAUAUCGCUCAAUCAUUGGCCCAGUGCUAGAUGUAGUUUUCCCCCGGGCAAGAUGCCUAAUAUUUACAACGCUCUGGUAGUAAGGGUCGAGAUACUGUCAGUCACAAAUUAAUGUCACUUGUGAAGUACAGCAAUAUUAGGAAUAAUCGAGUUCGAGCUGUAGCUAUGAGUGCUACAGAUGGUCUAUGAGAGGAAUGGAAGUGAUUGACACGGGAGCUCCCCUAAGUGUCCAGUAGGCGGGCGACUCUAGGACGAAUUUUCAACGUGCUUGGAGAACCUGUUGAUAUUUAGGUCCUGUAGAUACUCAGAUAACAUCCCCUAUUCAUAGAUCUGCGCCUGCCUUUAUACAGUUAGAUACAAAUUAUCUAUUUUGAAACAGGAAUAAAGUCGAGAUCUUUUAGCCCCUAUCGCCGUGGAGGAAAAAUCGGACUAUUUGGGGGCGCUGGAGUAGGUAAACAGUACUAAUUAUGGAAUUAAUCAACAACAUUGCGAAAGCUCAUGGGGGUGUAUCCGUAUUGGCGGAGUAGGUGAACGUCUCGUGAGGAACGAUCUUUACAUGGAAAUGAAAGAUCCGGAGUAAUUAAUGAAGAAAAUAUGCAGAAUCUAAAGUGGCUCUAGUUUAUGGUCAGAUGACGAACCACCGGGAGCUCGUAUGAGAGUUGGUUGACUGCCCUAACUAUGGCGGAAUAUUCCGAGAUGUUAAUGAACAAGACGUACUUCUAUUUAUCGACAAUAUCUUUCGUUUCGUCCAGCAGGAUCCGAAGUAUCCGCCUUAUUGGGUAGAUGCCCUCUGCUGUGGGUUAUCAACCCACCCUUAGUACCGAAAUGGGUACUUUACAAGAAAGAAUACUUCUACCAAAGAAGGUCCAUAACUUCUAUUCAAGCAGUUUAUGUACCUGCGGACGAUUUAACCGACCCUGCUCCUGCCACGACAUUGCGCAUUUAGAUGCUACUACUGUACUAUCAAGAGGAUAGCUGCUAAAGGUAUCUAUCCAGCAGUCGACCCUUUAGAUCAACAUCAACUAUGCUCCAACCUCAGAUCGUGGCGAGGAACAUUAUGAAACUGCGCAAAGAGUUAAGCAAACUUACAACGUACAAAGAACUUCAGACAUUAUAGCUAUCCUUGGGUUGGACGAAUAUCCGAAGAGGAUCGCUUAACUGUAGCAAGAGCACGAAAAAUUGAGCGUUUCUUAUCACAACCCUUUUCGUAGCCGAAGUAUUACCGGUUCCCCGGGAAAUAUGUCGGUCUAGCAGAAACAUUAGAGGGUUUAAAUUGAUCCUUUCCGGAGAAUAGAUAGUCUUCCUGAGCAGGCCUUUUAUUUGGUAGGUACAUUGAUGAAGCUACUGCGAAGGCUACGAACUAGAAAUGGAGAACAACUGAAGAAAUGAUCUUAAGUCUUUGUGUAUUGACCCCGAAUCGAAUUGUUGGGAUUCAGAAGUGAAAGAAAUCAUUUUAUCUACUAAUAGUGGGCAAAUUGGUGUAUACCUAAUCACGCGCCUAUUGCCACAGCCGUUGAUAUCGGUAUUUGAGAAUACGCCUUAAUGACCAAUGGUAACGAUGGCUCUGAUGGGCGUUUUGCUAGAAUAGGCAUAAUGAGGUUACUGUUUUAGUAAAUGAUGCGGAGAAGGGGAGUGACAUUGAUCCACAAGAAGCUCAGCAAACUCUGAAAUAGCAGAAGCUAACUGAGGAAAGCGGAAGGCAAGAGACAAAUAAUCGAGGCAAUCUAGCUCUCAGACGAGCUAGAGCACGAGUAGAGGCUAUCAAUGUGAUUUCGUAACUAUAACCAGUUGGCGGUGCGCCCGAAUAUCAAAAGAAAACUUCUGUAUAAACAUAAGUUCCGUUUAUACAUCUUAUUUUUUAUUCUGCAAAUUGAAUAGAAUCAUAAAUGGAAUCGGAUCUAUCUAAUAGAACUACAACGAAAAAUUUUCAAUUCAAAAUGAAAUAGAGAAAGAGAAUAGAAUGGAAUGGAAAAGAUCAAAAAUCAAUAAAAUAAGGCGGAUAGAAAACUUAUUAGAUACCAUGGAUUCGGAUAUCUAAUAAGUUAUACCUACUAUUGGAUUUGAACCAUGACUCCCGCGUAUGAAAGCAUACUCUAACCACUGAGUUAAGUAGGUAAUUUAGAAUCAAAAGAGAAAGAAUGGACCCGUCACAUCGAUGGAUUAUAAAUGUAAUAUUAUUUAUAAGCAAUACCGAUCAAGAGAUAAAAGUUGGAUCAUGUAAUAUUCAUCUUGACAAGAAAUUAUGACAUGAUAAAAUAUAUAUCACAAGCAAAGGGCUAUAGCUCAGUUAGGUAGAGCACCUCGUUUACACGCGCGCCGAUGUUUUUUCGAGGAGUACAUUAUGGAAUCAAAAAACUUAUUGAGAAGUUGAUGUCUUACUCCAUCCCUUUAGGGAACAAGAGAACAAUAGCCUGACAAAAGAUUCGGUCCAAUUUAGGUGCCCCUUUUCGAUUUUAGAUUUAGGCAACCAAUAGAACCCAUUAUUGAUUUAAGAUAUGAUAAGGGGAUACUCACUCUAUUCAAUGCUAGGCAUAAUGAGUAUAAAGACCUCAAAAAUUCUUUUUUCGUCCUAUCUUAUGAACUUAAGGUGUAUGAAGUUCAUAUUGGAUUAUUUAAGUAAGAAGGGGCGAUGGAGACUUCAUUUAACUUAGGUUGAUCUAAGCCAAAGCAAACCUACGUCAGGAUAACCUUCUUUGAACACUUCGGUAGUGCUCUCAGAUCGGAAUCAAAUAAGAAUCAGAGCACAUGGAGCCAUCUUCUUAUCUUUUCUGAGAGAAUAUGUAGACUACUGAUAUUUAUAUCAGUUAAUGGAAGAGCCAAUGCAAAAAAAUGCAUGUUGGGUCUUUGAACAGUUCGAAUCAUUUGAGAAUAAUCAGUUUGAUCUGUUUUACGAGAAGUCUACGGUUCGAGUCCGUAUAGCCCUAAAAAAAAAAUGAAAUAAAAUUCAAAUACAAAACAAAAAUUGUAUAGUUUUUUUUUCUUCAUUAUUGUAUUGUUUGUUGUUGUACUAGUCGCUUGCAAUUGCUUGGUUUAUCGAAAAACGAAAAAAAAAAAGCAUUUCAUAAGCUUGCUCGCAGGAUCAUUCAGGAUAGAGUAUAAAGCCGAAAUAAAAAAAAAAGUGCACUUCAAUAGACCCAAUCGCUAUUUUAUUUAUUUUUUUUUUUUUUAUCUUGUCUUGGCUAAACAAACCCAAUUUCUUCAUUACUCUCCUAAGUCAAUUACAUAUGAAUUUUUCCCCUUUUCUAUCCGCAUCAAAAAGAGUUAGUGAUACUUCUUUUCUUUGUCUUGGGAUACCUGCCGAAGCCUAAUGAUUUUUGGAGUCAAAAUCAUGACACGACUCAUUAAAAACAAAUCCAACCUAACUCAACAAAAAUCAAAUCUACUAGUAAGUUACACGGAUUAAAAAUGACUUACUCUAUUUAUGGACAAGCUGGAGUGGAAAAUGAGGAUCUUUAUUACUUUCAUUAUUAACAUUGUAAACGGGCUCUUCUUUUUCUUUUAUUGCUAUACCAGGUAAGGUAUAGCAAUAAAAGAAAAAAUAAAGGAGUCUUUUCUUGCCCUAACAUUCAAUUACUAAAUUAAUUAAUAUAUUAAUAUAUUUAUAUUAUUUCUAAAUGAAUAUAGAAGUAUAAUUCGAAAUUAUAUAGAAUAUAAGUAUAAUAGAAUAGAACUAUAAUUUAGUUAAUAGUUAAUAUAAGAUCCUAUUCUAUUAAUGUUUAAUAUUAUUUAUUAUAUUAUUAUUAAAUUUAGAAUAAUAUUUAUAUUCCAUAUUAUAUAGGUAGAGUACUCUAUUACAUAUAGAAUAUAGGUAUAGUAUUUUCUAUUUUAUAUAGAUUAGUAUUUUAUUAAAAUUGAAAAUACUAUACCUAUAUUCUAUAUGUAAUAUAUUUUUAUAAUUUUUAUAGAGAUCCGAAGUGAGAUGAAAAUCGAGAAAAAGUCUUAUUUGUAUAAGCUAUAAGAGAAAUAGCAAUAUAUAUUUAUAAUUGAUAAUUGAUAUCGAAAUAAAAUUGAAGUAAAUGGAACAAUUCGAGUCGAUGAAUCUGAAAUGAGACAUGUACAAAAGCAAACAAAACUAAGCAGUCAAUCAAAAUAAAUGUUAUUUUGACUAAACAGUUAUGAAUGAGUUGACAAUUAAUUUCAUUCGACUCGAAUAAUCUAGUAUAUUUUCUACAUUCAUAGGAGUGCACCCAUGUUUCUGCUUUACGAAUAUGAUAUUUUCUGGGCAUUUCUAAUAAUAUCAAGUGUUAUUCCUAUUUUGGCAUUUCUAUUUCGGGCCUUUUAUCCCCAUUAGAAAGGACCAGAGAAACUUUCUAGUUAUGAAUCCGGUAUAGAACCAAUGGGCGAUGCUUGGUUACAAUUUCGAAUCCGUUAUUAUAUGUUUGCUCUAGUUUUUGUUGUUUUUGAUGUUGAACGGUUUUUCUUUAUCCAUGGGCAAUGAGUUUCGAUGUAUUGGGGGUAUCCGUAUUUAUAGAAGCUUUAAUUUUCGUGCUAUCCUAAUGUUGGUUUAGUUUAUGCAUGGCGAAAAGGAGCAUUAGAAUGGUCUUAGCUCUUGAUAUUCCGACAAUAAUAAUGAAAACAAAAAAAAAAAAGAACAUGAGACAGUUAUGAUUCCAUUGAGUUUCCCUUACUUGAUCGAACAACCCCAAUUCAGUUAUUUCAACUACAUCAAAUGAUCUUCAAAUUGGUCAGACUCUCCAGUUUAUGGCCGCUUCUCUAUGGUACCAGUUGUUGCUUCAUUGAAUUUGCUUCAUUAAUAGGCUCACGAUUCGACUUUGAUCGUUAUGGGCUAGUACCAAGAUCUAGUCCUAGACAAGCGGACCUGAUUUAACAGCCGGCACAGUAACCAUGAAAAUGGCUCCUCUUUAGUGAGAUUAUAUGAACAAUGCCGGAACAAAAAUAUGUUAUGCUAUGGGAGCAUGUACAAUUACAGGGGAAUGUUCAGUACGGAUUCUUAUAGUACUGUCGGGGAGUCGAUAAGCUAUUCCUGUAGAUGUCUAUUUGCCGGGCUGCCCUCCUAACCGGAGGCGAUUAUAGAUGCUAUAACAAAACUCGUAAAAAAUAUCUCGAGAGAUUUAUGAAGAUCGAAUUAGGUCUCAACAGGGAAUCGGUGUUUUACUACCAAUCACAAGUUUCAUAUUGGACGUACUACUAAUACUGGAAAUUAUGAUCAGGAUUACUCUAUCAACCGCCGUCUACUUCAAAAUAGCUCCUGAAGCCUUUUUCAAUACAAAAGUCAGUAUCGUCCCCUGAAUUAGUAAUUAGAGGAAGGACUCCUUUGUACAGAAUACAAAAGGCAAUCAAUCUUCCUAAAUUUCAUCGGAAAUAGGAAAUACUUAUACAAAUAAAAAUGGGGGAGAGAAAAAAAAUAUGCGGGUCCUCUGUCUGCUUGGCUGGUCAACAUGGGCUAGUUCAUAGAUCUUGGGCUUUGAUUACCAAGGAAUAGAGACUUACAAAUAAAGCCCGAGGAUUGGCAUUCCAUUGCUGUCAUUCUAUAUGUAUAUGGUUACAACUAUCUGCGUCCCAAUGUGCCUAUGAUGUAGCACCGGGCGGGCUGUUAGCUAGUAUAUAUCAUCUUACGAGAAUAGAAUAUGGUAUUCUAGAUCAACCUGAAGAAGUAUGUAUAAAAGUAUUGCUCCUAGGAAGAAUCCUAGAAUUCCAUCUGUUUCUGGGUUGGAAAAGUGCGGAUUUUCAAGAAAGAGAAUCUUAUGAUAUGUUGGGAUCUCUUAUGAUAAUCAUCCACGUCUGAAACGUAUCUUAAUGCCGGAAAGUGGAUAGGGUGCCUUUACGUAAAGAUUAUAUUGCUCCCAAUUUUUAUGAAAUACAAGAUGCUCAUGAAUAAUAAGAAACUCAUUUCAGUGUUACAAUUCCAGAUAUUCAGGAAUAUUUGUUCGUUCUCUUAUAGAUCCAGAGAGUCAUGAAGUCUCAUUCAUAUUAUUAUGGAUAUAUAGACUAAAAAAAAAGACAAUACAAUUAGGGAUUCGUCGGAUCUCCAAUUUUGAAGAUAUUUAUUUCGGGCGAGCCGAGCUAAUAGGACGAACUAAGCGAAUUCUGCAUCAUGAACUUGUACUGCGCACAUCCCUUAGAUGAGCUAUAUAAAGUCAAUAAAGAAAUAUAAUAGAAAGAAAAAACAAAAACAAAGAAAUCAAAGGAGAUCAGAUUCUAUUUGUACUGUAUCCGAGAUGAAUCUUGUAUAUUCCCACCCUUCACUUCUCUAGACUAGACUUUUCUUUUAAGUAUUUUACGCAAUUAAUUACCCUUUUAAUCUAUAUCAAGUAUUCAUUUUUUGACCGAGAGACACGCAUUAUGGACAAAAAAAAAAAAAAAAGAGGAAAGAUAGUCGAUUCUUUUUUCUUUUACAUACCCUUAAUACUUUUUAUUUAUAUUAAUAUACUUUUUUUUAUACUUUAACUACUCAUCUAAAAUCUAAAAAGGCUAUAUCUCCAGACACCUAGAUAAGUAUGUAUCAUGGUCUAUAUUAUUAACUAUAUUAUUAAUAUGUAUGUCGAUCUAUACCAUCUAUAUCAAUUAAUUUAAUUAAGUGUAGAAUAGAUACUUCUAGACAAAUUCAUUAUGUGUCAGGAACCAGAUUUGACUGGUGACACGAGGAUUUUCAGUCCUCUGCUCUACCUGCUGAGCUAUCCCGACCAUUUCCGACGCGCCGUCUUCCUAAUUUUACUAAAUGACUUGGUCAAUUAAAAAAAAAAAAAAGACAAAAAGGUAUUCUAAAGUCUUAUCAUGUUAAUCAUCCAAUUUUCAAAAGGGAUCCUUGUUUUACUCAAAGAAGUUCGUUUGGAUGUCUAUCCUAUCUAUCACAAGACUUGGAAAAGAAAAAAAAAUGCAGCCCAGAUACAUUUGUGAAAAAUCGAAUGAAUGAGAAAGAUAACGAAUUUUGAACCGUAACGAAAAGAGAGAAUAAGAUAAAUAAUUAGGGAGUCGAGCGGGCCUUUUUUGGGGAUAGAGGGACUUGACCCUCACGAUUUAUAAAGUCGACGGAUUUUCCUUUUACUAUAAUUUCUUUGUUGUCGAUAUUGACAUGUAGAAUGGGACUCUAUCUUACUCUCGUCCAAUAAAUCAGCAGACUCUGGGGUGAUGAUCUGAUCAAUGAAUAUUCGAUCCUCUCGUCACUUGGAAUCGAUUCAAAUCAAAGCAAUUUUUUUUUUAUUAUUAUUUGAAUUAUUAAUUAUUUAAUUUUCAUAUAAAUAGAAUAAAAUACAGAUUCGAGUCGGUUGUCAUUAAUCAUUUGAGAUAGUAUUUCAGUACGUAUGCCUAUGUAUAUGUUUCCUAUGUAUUAUGUUUAUAGGGUUAUACUUUACUUUAACUUUCUUUUUUCUGGAAUUUAACUUAAACAGAAGGAUUCCUUUACUUGACUAAUGCAACGCAGUCACUCUAUUUGUUAGAACAACUUCCAUUGAGUCUCUGCACCUAUCCUUUUGUAUUCUUAUUCUGUCUUUAUGAACCUUUGUUUGUUUUUUUGUUUGUUUUCGAAAAUAGGAUUUGGCUCAGGAUUGCCCCUUUUUUUUCCGGGUUUCUCUGAAUUUGAAAGUUAUCACUUAGUAAGUUUCCAUACCAAGGCUCAAUCCAAUUAAGUCCGUAGCGUCUACCAAUUUCGCCAUAUCCCCUCUUUGUUUUGUGUUUGAGAUUCAGAUCUUAUUAUUAUGUUAUUAUGUCAUUCCCUUUUUUCUUUCAUUUCUAUUCUACUGGAACUGUUAAAGUCAUUAGAUACCGAUUCCUAUAUCCUAGAAAAGUGUUCCUCUAUAUUUUAAUAUUUUAUUUGAUUUCUUGUCUAGCCUCUUUCAUAUCUAUUUUGGACCCCUAUUUGGUCUAAUCAGAAAUCAUUCUAUCAUUUCUGUAUCCGCAAUUCAAUAUAGAUGCAUAUAUACCACAUUUAUUCUAUAUGUUUUUCUUCGAAUCAUUUUUCUUGUGCAAUUUUGAAUACUCGAACGGUCAAUUCUUUUCUUUUUUUUUUUAUAUUCAUUCAUUUUUCUAUAUUCAUUUAAUUUAAUUAUGAAUUACUACGAAUGAAAAGUGAAUAGCUAAGGUUCCAGUAGUUUACUAAAUUCCUGUGCAUGUACAAUUUCUGUUAUGUGAGCCCGCUUAGCUCAGAGGUUAGAGCAUCGCAUUGUAAUGCGAUGGUCAUCGGUUCGAUUCCGAUAGCUGGCUUUUUUUUUUUUCUAUUUUUUUUUCUAUAUUCUAUAUACAUUCUUUGUGUAUAUACAAUUAAGGUCCGGAUAUUGAUAGAAUCCAUCUCAUUUGUAGUAUAUCAGUAUUUUUGUAGUAUAAUACUUCAGUAGAUUUUGCCUCAUUUAUCAUAUUUAUCCUUUAGUUCAGUUUAAUUUAGGUUUAUGAAAUUCAAUAAAAUAAAGAAAAUAAGGAGUCUUUAUGUCACGUACCGAGGGCCUCGUUCAAAAAAAUACGCCGUCUGGGGGCUUACCGGGACUAACUAGUAAAGGCCUAGAGCCGGGAGCGAUCUAGAAAUCAAUCGCGCGCCGGUAAAAAUCUCAAUAUCGUAUUCGUUAGAAGAAAAACAAAAAUUGCGUUUCAUUAUGGUCUUACAGAACGACAAUUGCUUAAAUACGUUCGUAUCGCCGCAAAAGCCAAAGGGUCAACAGGUCAGGUUUACUACAAUUACUUGAAAUGCGUUUGGAUACAUCCUUUUUCGAUUAGGUAUGGCGUCAACUAUUCCUCGAGCCCGCCAAUUAGUUACCAUAGACAUAUUUUAGUUAAUGGUCGUAUAGUAGAUAUACCAAGUUAUCGCUGCAAACCCCGAGAUAUUAUUACAGCGAAGGAUGAACAAAAAUCUAGAGUUAUGAUUCAAAUUCUCUUGAUUCAUUCCCCCAGGAGGAAUUGCCAAAACAUUUGACUCUUCACCCAUUCCAAUAUAAAGGAUUGGUCAAUCACAUAAUAGAUAGUAAAUGGAUGGCUUGAAAAUAAAUGAAUUGUUAGUUGUAGAAUAUUAUUCUCGUCAGACUAAACCUAACUAAAAUAACAAGGGUUCGAACAAUUUCUCCCCUGUCGCCUAAAUAAAGAGACCAAAGGUAUGGGUUUGCUUGGGGGAUUUUUCUCCCAUUGAUAUAUCCUAGAAUGAUAGGGGCAUUUCAUUCCUUGUCCACUCGUAUUUUCUGUUCACAGAAUUAGGAAUAGAGAAUCUAUAUCAAAGAAAGAUCGAACUCUGGAAUAAAGGUAUCCAUUGUUAUGUGAUUUGAUAUAUUGCGGUCAAUAGCAUUUCAGUAACAUUGAUAAAUUAGGUGAAGGUGCGGAAAGAGAGGGAUUCGACCCUCGGUAAACAAAAGCCUACAUAGCAGUUCCAAUGCUACGCCUUCAACCACUCGGCCAUCUCUCCUACAUAAUGAUUAGGAUAAUGAUUAUGGCCCCGAAAGCGAGUGAAUCGCGAGUCAAUCCCGAUUGAGAAUGAAGAUAACUGUCAAUGCAACUAUUGAUGUAAUUAUUCCAAUUGUAUUUAGUAUCAUAUAUAAUUUAGUAUCAUAUAUAUUAGAUUAGAUGUGGAUAGGUACGGUACAUACAAUUAAUUGUAACUAUAAAAAAUAGAAUAGAAAAAUAGAAAACUUUUAAUCAUUUAAUCAAAGAAAGACCUUCCUUCGGGGCUGGGGGAUAAAGCAAUUAUUUUUUUGUUUUUGUGAAAAACUUUUUAUAAAAACAAUAAAGAUAUAUAUCUAUUUACUAUUUAUGUUUGCUGUUUGCGAAGAUGACGUUCCCGUCUUUUUCUGAUAUCUAUACCGGCUAAAAUCACGGGAUUGGAACGACUCGAACACUCGGUCUAUCUUUUUUUAUGAGUUAAGGCUGUUUUUAUGUUAUUUCGUACUGUAUAAUUACUUUUUUUGUAGGAUCGUUUCUCACGAGAGGUAAUAAAAGAAAUUUUAAAAUGGAUUGCUACCUAUGCCUAGAUCCCGGAUAACUGGAAAUUUGAUUGAUAAGACCUUUUCAAUUGUAGCCAAUAUCUUAUUACGAAUAAUUCCGACAACUUCAGGAGAAAAAGAGGCAUUUACUUAUUACAGAGAUGGUGUGAUUUGAUUUUUUUAUUUACCGCUUCGAGUCUUAGGAGAAAGACACAUUAGCCGGGAUAGAAAGAUUGAAAAAAACUCUACGUUUAUUGAAGGUGAAGUUUCUAAAAAAAAAUUCCUUCUGUCGUGUAUCCCCGAUUAAUGCAGCCUCAGAUGUUUCAAUUGUCGAUUCUAGCAUUGAGCGAAAAGGUUACACCUAUGGCUAUGGGUUAUGUAUUGCAGGUAAUCCUGCUCCACUAGUACCACUAGGCGGCAUAGAGGAAGAAGCACUACGCUUAGGAAUCAACAACACGAAAACUUUGCUAUAAAUUUUCCCUUUUCCUUAUUGGGAUCGGGACUAAGAAGAAUGGUUGGGACAACAAAUAUCCAUCUCAUUCGUGCUUUGGAUACCCAUAUAACCAUCGAAGACUGUUGAAGUGACUAAUUCCUAGAAAUUAAGGGAUGUUGAGGACAAAGAAAUUGUUGGAGUUAACGUAACAUUUUUCUAUUUUUAUAUAGUACCAACAUCUUGGAUGUUAAGAAACGAUCUUUUGCAGGAAGGUUGGCUAGAGAUUUCUUGUAAAACACUAGCCCCGCUCAGUUCAUAAUGAGAAUAUUCACUCCUUUUUGAUUCUAUGUAUUAGGCUUAUUAUGCACAUUAAGGGAGGAGCCGUAUGAGAUGAAACCUCACGUACGGUUCUGGAACGGAGAUUCUUUGAAUCGAAUAACGACCGUAACGGAUGUCUGCUCAAUCCGAAGGAAAUUAUGCGGAAGCUUUACAGAAUUAUUAUGAAGCUAUGCGACUAGAAAUCGAUCCCUAUGAUAGAAGUUAUAUACUCUAUAAUAUAGGCCUUAUCACACAAGUAAUGGAGAACACACAAAAGCUUGGAAUAUUAUUUUCGGGCAUUAGAACGAAACCCUUUCUUACCACAAGCUUUAAUAAUAUGGCCGUAAUCUGUCAUUACGUGCGACUAUCUACACUAUAGAAAGAAAAAGGAAAGAAAGAGCAAAAUCAAAAAUCUACUAGUAAAAAAAAAAUAGGCUUUCUACAUAUGGCAUCGUCCAAAACAACGAUUUUUAUCAGCUGUAGCAAAGAAAGAAACUUCAUAGAAAUCGAAAUAUGAAAAAAGAAAUAUGCCUAGAUACUUUAUUCUAUGGAUAAAGGAUCUAAUUGAUAGAGGAAGCACCGUAAAGAUCAAUUAGCGAAAUUUUUGCCGAUACAAUAAGAACUGCUUACUUAAUGUCAUAAUAUGAGACAAAAGCUAGGAAUCCACUUAUGUAAUGGAGUCGACCCCCUAAAGUAUUGAGCAGCGGUGUAGCAUCAGAUCCCAAAGAUAGUAAGCCUUUUCUUUCUUAUGAGAGAAGUCUUUUUCAAAGAUUCUAUAUAAAUAGAAAUUUCUAUAUGAAACCGAGAUAGUUACCUUUCAGAAAAUUGUAAUGAUAGUAGACACCUACGCUUUAUUCUUUUGAAGGUGGGAGAAAAGAUAAAACAAAACGGAUUAUUAUUAUUAAUUAUUAAUAUUAUUAAUUAUUAUUAUUAUUAAUAUUAUUAAUUAUUAUUAUUAAUAUUAUUAAUUAUUAUUAUUAAUAAUUAAUAAAAUCAAACUUCAAGUUUGAAACUCAUGUAAUUAACCUCUUUUGAUUAACUCGAAAAAAAAAUGGGACAUCAAAAGAAUUGACUGUCGAGCCGUAUGAGUAGGAAACUCUCAAGUACGGUUCUAAGGGAAGGAAUUUACUCGCCUAUUCCGACCGAGGAGACAGGCCAUUCGGCAGGGAGAUUCUGAAAUUGCGGAGGCUUGGUUCGACCAAGCCGCGGAGUAUGGAAACAAGCUAUAGCGCUUACUCCUGGAAAUUAUAUUGAAGCGCAGAAUUGGUGAAGAUCACAAGGCGUUUCGAAUAAAAUAUUCGAAUAAGAUAAGAGCAUGCUCUUUUCUUUUAUUAUUUAGUAUUUGUUAUAUUUUUAUUUCUUAUAAUUAUUUUCUUAUAAUUAUAUUAAUUUGUUAUAACUAAUUAUUUGUUGUCUCCAUCAGUCAAAUAAAACGGAUCAUUUCUGUGGGAAGACACAAUCGAAGAAUUUCAUGAAUUUCAUUAUACCCCUUCCCUUCUAAGAUCCUUACUUUUUAUCUGGUAUUUCAUAGGAAUAGAAUAAAUGAUACACAGAUACAGACAGUAGAAAAUAUAUAUUUUCUAGAUUUUAUAUUUUAUUUUCUCUUACUCUUAUAUUAAAACAUUAAUAUUAAAAGGAAUAAAAGAUGCCUUUGAAUACUUUAAUGUGCACAAAAAAAUUGUUUUUGCAUCAAUUCAAAGCCCAGAAAGGUCCGUUGAGCGCCUCGUGGCUAUGUCAUAAUAGAUCCGAACACUUGCCCUGGAUCGACUUCCAGAUCAUAAUGCUCUAGUGAAUAACUAACGAAACUAGAUAGAAAAAAACUAAUUAGAAAAUCUCUCAUGGGUUCACUAAUUACUUGACUGUUGGCGGGUCUCUUUGUAUGUGUGUCCGGAAAGAGGAGGACUCAAUGAUUAUUCGUUCGCCGGAACCAGAAGUAAAAAUUUUGGUAGAUAGGGAUCCCAUCAAACUUCUUUCGAGGAAUGGGCCAGACCCGGUCAUUUCUCAAGAACAAUAGCUAAAGGACCUGAUACUACCACUUGGAUCUGGAACCUACAUGCUGAUGCUCACGAUUUCGAUAGCCAUACCAGUGAUUUGGAAGAGAUCUCCCGAAAAGUCUUUAGUGCUCAUUUCGGCCAACUCUCCAUCAUCUUUCUUUGGCUGAGUGGCAUGUAUUUCCACGGUGCUCGUUUUUCCAAUUAUGAAGCAUGGCUAAGCGAUCCUACUCACAUUGGGCCUAGCGCCCAAGUAGUUUGGCCAAUAGUGGGCCAAGAAAUAUUGAAUGGUGAUGUGGGUGGGGGUUUCCGAGGAAUACAAAUAACCUCCGGUUUUUUUCAGAUUUGGAGAGCAUCUGGAAUAACUAGUGAAUUACAAUUGUAUUGUACGGCAAUUGGUGCAUUGGUCUUUGCAGCCUUAAUGCUUUUUGCUGGUUGGUUCCAUUAUCACAAAGCUGCUCCAAAAUUGGCUUGGUUCCAAGAUGUAGAAUCUAUGUUAAAUCACCAUUUAGCAGGGCUACUAGGGCUUGGGUCUCUUUCUUAGGUGGGGCAUCAAGUCCAUGUAUCUUUACCAAUUAACCAAUUUCUAAACGCUGGAGUAGAUCCUAAAGAGAUCCCACUUCCUCAUGAAUUUAUCUUGAACCGGGAUCUUUUGGCUCAACUUUAUCCCAGUUUUGUAUUUUUUAUUUUAAAAUGUAUCUAAAUAAUAUUUUUUAUAUUUUUUAAAAAAAAAAUUACAUCAAUAUAUCAAAAUAAUUUAAAAAUAUUUUAAAAAAAUUAAUUUAAAAUAAAAAAAUUUAAUUUUUUUUCAAAUUUUUCUUUUAAAAAACAAAAAUAAACUGGGAGUCAGAAUUCAAGAGUCCCGGUGCCGUUCUAUGUACGUGCGCCACCGGCAUGCGAGUCAGCAAACGACGACAUGUGGUUUGUCCGGGCCUCCAAGACCUUGAUUUUGCUUAUCUCUGAGUUGAGGUGCUCUUUGGGCUAGGUAUUGUAGUAUGUAUCUGUUCUUUGUAUUGGACCUGUACAGCCCCUUUUUCUCAAUGGAACCACCUUUACUUUGUUGAUUAAAACAAAGAAACAAAAAAAAAAAAAAAAAAGACUGAAGCGAACUGGCCGGAAACUAAUCACGAUGCAUUUCUCUCUCUCUCUCUUUUCUUCUUCUUUUUUUUUUCAAAACAUUGGUAUAUUAAAAAUUUAUUUGUUUUUAUAUUUUAAAAGUAUUUUAAAAAAUUAAAAAAGAUGUUUUUUUGUUUUGAAUUUUUUUUUUUAUGUUUUAAAAUUAUUUUGAUGUACUAAUAUUAAAAUAAUUUUUUUAAAAUAAAAAACUAUUACUUUAAUAUAUUUUUAAGUAAAACAUACUUUAAAAAUAAUUAUCUCCGCACUUUAAAAUACACUCUAAAUUAUUAAUAGAUAUUGUGCAGACUAGCAACGGUGCUGCAGGCUGAUAUUGGAAGCUCCUACCAUGAACACCUCAAUUUCCCUGUCGAAUGACCAACCAAUUACCCCACGCGUCAUCUACAGACAGUAAUUCUUAAAAUUAAGAAUAAUUUUCUAUCUCAUAUUAACUAUACGUAAUUGUACUCUAUAUCCUAGCAAUGUCAAUUCACCAUGAAGAUUGUAGAUCAGAAGCUCAUUCUACCUAUACUGAGUUCUGCCUUCCACUUUCCUAUGUGGAUAGAAGACUUAGCAGGAUGGGAUUUCUUCUAGCCACUCAGUAUUUCCUUGGCUACCAUUAAUUUAACUGAUAUCAUAUGGGAUUAUAGCUGUCAUAUUGUCUUGUUAGAAUCCUCUCUUUUCCUUCCCAUGUGAUGCUGUUGGACCACAAAAUUGGAUGAUUUCCUAAUCAUAUCUUCCUUUCUACCGAUGCACUUCUGUCAGAAGCUGGAUUUUGUUUGACAAACCAGCAAGGAGGAUUCUCAACUCCAAACUAUGCUCUACCCAAAGAAUGGCUGUAUCAUAACGUUAUACAUAUAUAAUUGAAGUGUAAUAAUAAUGGCUGUAUCAUAGUAUAAAUUUAGCUUGACAAAUGCUAUUGAUUUUUAGCAAUUCAUGUAAUGCAUGCCUUUUUGCUGAGAGUAUGAACUUUAUCAAGUUCUGCCAAAUGCUUAAUUACUCAUGCCUGACCUUGUUUGAAUAGCCAAUUAAAAACAAAAAGAUUGCACCUUUUAAAUUUAUUAGGAGACUAUUAACGAAAAGAGGCUCCUUGUUGUUUUGCGUAAUCACGAGAGGGAGACUUGUAGGACAAGAGUUGUGGUUUAUAGCUAGCUCGUCCAAUUUCCACCAUACCCCAAUUGCCAGUUGUGUACAAGUUCUAUAUAAACCAAACAAAACUUAUCAAGAAGACACACUCGAAACCCAGCAACCAAUAGCAUCCCGAUGAAAAUGCUUCACUUUGCCGUUCUCUUUGCUCUCCUGUUUUCUUCCUCCUCUCAUGCAGCUGAUUUCUGUGUUGCAAAACUAAAGGGUGCAGGAAGCCCUGCGGGGUACGCCUGCAGAAUGCCCUCAAAUGUCACAGUCGAUGAUUUUGUGUUUACUGGCCUUGGCGUUGCUGGUAACACUACCAAUAUCAUCAGUGCUGCUGUCACCCCAGCUUUUGUACAGCAAUUUCCUGGUGUAAAUGGGCUCGGUCUAUCCAUGGCUCGACUAGACCUAGCACCAGCUGGUGUUAUCCCGAUGCACACUCACCCGGGUGCAUCCGAAAUCUUAUUCGUGGUGCAAGGUAAGAUCACUGCUGGAUUCAUUUCCAGCUCGGCCAACACUGUUUACGUUAAGACUCUUAAGAAGGGUGAUGUUAUGGUGUUUCCACGAGGGUUGCUUCACUUUCAAAUCAAUGCUGCUGGGAUACAAGCAAUCGCUGUUGUUAGCUUUAGUGACCCUGAUCCUGGCCUCCAAAUCACUGAUUUUGCGUUCUUUGCCAACGACUUGUCCUCAGAACUGCUGGAGAAAUCAACUUUUCUUGAUGAUGCUCAAGUUAAAAAGCUCAAGAAAGUUCUUGGUGGAACUGGCUAGGAUUGCUAAAGUUGUUUCUUGCUAAGAAUCCAUUUCUUCAUGUGUAUUGAUUAGACUUAUGUGGGUUGUGUUCUCGUCAAUUGUUUUCCCCUUAGUUUUAUGGAAUUUUGUUAUGAUCUCGAGUGUAAAAGCUCCAAUGCAUUGUUUCAGGUCGCCAAGUUUAGAGCACAAGAAUCUAGUUUCUAUUUCACAUAAAUAGUACAAUCAACACAUGUUCCUUUCAAAGAAUAAAAAGAAAAUAAUGCUGCAGGUUUUUAAGUUCUUCAGGAAAUGAAAAAAAUAAAUUCAAAAGGAAGCAUGGUGGAAGAAGGUAAGAAACGACAACUCUUAUUUAUACUAUAUUAUAUAUAUAUGAUGAAAACUUUAACUUCUUCUUCUUCUUUUAUUUUUUUAGUAGAAUCACAUUGCUGCUACUAUUUUCUAGUUCUUCCAUCUUUUUUCAGAGAAAAUCUUUUUUAUAGUUUUGUCUUAGACACCCUUUUGUAUAAUGCUAGCUAAUGACAUUUUAUUACCAUCUCUUCAAUAUGUUUAUGUAUUUUAACACGGCUAUUCAUCGUUUUUUUUUUUUUUUUUACAAGAUUAUUGUCACAUUUCUCUAGCCUGAAAUCUCUUUUUAAAAUUUUGUUUUUUAAGGGGUCAUUCUAUUUUGAUUUAUUUUUUAUUAGGUUAUUCUUAUCUUUUUCUUAUCAUAACUCCUUGGUCUUUUUUUAUUUUAUUUUAUUUUAUAGGAAGAGCUCCCUUUUCUUCUUGUUUUUUUUUUUAAUGUGUGAUUUAUUUUAUACCACACCUCUUCUUGUCCAAGGAUAUGUUUGCUUGCAUUGAGCAUCUCUUGACUUCUUCUAUCAUUUUUUUAAUGCAAGGUUUUAAUUGUCUUAUUAAUUUCUGUCAUCUUGCAUCUUUACUUUAUUUUUAAUUCUUUGAAUGUCACUUUAUCAUCAAUUUAAUUUUAGAAUUUCUCCCUUGCUAAACACAUGUGCUCUAAUCCCUCAAAUCCCCAAGUAACUCUAAUACCAUAUUAAAAGAAAACCCUAGAGAAAAGAGAAAUUAUAGAAGGAAGCAUGGUGGAAAAAACUCUUCAUAUCAUAAGUCCCGUGAACUUGAACUUAUAUUAUAAUACUCUCAAUAUAUAUAUAUAUAUAUAUUGUAGACUUCAAAAUCAAUUCCAUCAACUGGGAUUCAUGUAUUUUUAUGGGAGCUAAUAUUCCAGUACCAGGGAGAGGCCACGAGUCCCUGGACAGUGAUAAGCUUAUCCAUUCUGUAUGAACGUGAACAGGAAGCAUGCUAUAACAGAUGUCAAUUCUUGAGCUGGAGGAGUGAUUGUGAUUGGGCCGUGGGGACAAUGGGCUAGCUUUUAUAAAGCACUGAAUAUGUAAUCUCAAUGAAUCUCAUGAACAAAAUACUCGUAAGGCUUCUCUCUGCUAAAAACUUUUGGAAAAAACUUAUUUAACAUUAAUGUGGAUAUAUUUACAAAUUAUAUAAAUAAAAUAAAAUUUGUAAAGAAGGUAAGACCGUCAAACAUAUUGUACGAUAAAAUCAUAACUUUAAAUUCCACUAUUAUAUCACACUUAAAAUUUAUCAAAUGAUUUUAUACACUCAUUUCUAUAGGAGGGAUCAAUUCGUUAUAAAUAGUCAACAUUUGAAAAGUCAUUAAAUUAAACUAUUUUUUUUUUGUUCUUUUUAUUAUUUUCCUAUUUAACUUUAUAUUUUAAUUUCUUUUACUACUUAUCUUUUUUAUUAUUUUUUUUGUUAGUUUAGUUUUAACCCUUAUACAAAUAUAAAUAGUUAAUAUGUUAUUUUUUUAAUCACAUUAUUGAAUUUCAGACUUUUUAAAAAAUGUUUGAGUUUUCUCUAUCUAUUUCUCUAUAAUUUAGUGUUGUAACCUUAAGGUUUGAAAACUCUAUUUUUAUUUACGCUAUAAUUUACUUAAAGUAAAUAACGAACAACUGAAAUAAAAAACAAAAACAUUGUGGCCAUAGACUCGGUUUACUAAUCAUCGCUACAGUGUUACACGAUAUUUUUUCCUUUCUAGAAAAAAAUUAAUGAACUUGCAUUUGAGGGUAAUAUGGUCUUUUGCACAUGGUCCAUUAAUCAUUUUGAAAUUGAUUGGCGAUAACUAAGUCUUUUCACUUUUGUUUGCAUUGUAUAAUUACUGAAUUAUCCUUAAAAAGAAAAAAAAUAUUAAGUUGCCAUCCAAGGUCAUUUUUGUCUUUUAUUCUUAUUUGCACAGUAAAAUGAUGAUUAUACCCUUGAAAAACAAAAAUGAUAAACUAUCACCCAUGGACUAUUUUGUCCUUUCAAAUUGUUUUUUUUUUGUUUGUUAUAACUAUGUUUUCUUAGGGGCAAUCUUGUCUUUUAAUAAAAAAAUAUAAAAAAGUUGUUCAUGCAUGCAUAACACAUGUCGGAGAAUUUGUCGCCUUCGGGUGGCGUGUCUGGAGGUUUCCGACGGUCAAUGACAAGUUUUCUUAGUAUGGUUAGGUUUGUCUCGGUGGUAUCUCCCUUCUACAGUGGCGUGUGUGGUGUUUUGAGCUUCGGUUUGACGCCAAUGGACCUUUUUUUUCUCUCUCUCCACCUCGCUUUCCUCACAUGACACUUCAAAAUUUCAAACCAAUCCUUCAAUUUGUUUUUCUUUUAAAUUUUGAUCUUUGUUCUUUUAAUUAUUAUUUUUUUUAAUUCAAAAUGGUUUAUAGAAUUGUAAUUUUUUUUCAAUUUCAUCAUCUUUUAAUUUUUUAUCUAUUAUAUUUGGUUCUUAUUCUUUUGAUUGUUGUUGAUUUAUUUUAGAUAAUUUUUUAAAUUAAAGGUUUUUUUUACAAUUUCAUCCUCAUUUAAUUUAUUUUCUAUGUGAUUUAAUCCUCAUUCUUUUCUUGCAAUUCUAUUUUCUUUGGAAUAUUUUUUUUAAUUUAAUUUUUUUGACAACUUCAUCUUUUAAUAUUAAAUUGGUUGGGAAUUGAGCUUCUUAAUUUAACCGAGAUCUAGGAUUUUAUGGGUUAAGAAUUUGGGGGAUUAACCCAAGUUUAGGAGAUUUAUGUGAGUUUGCUUCUUCUUUUUUCUUCCUUUUUUUAAGCUAAUUUGUUUUUCAGUCAUAUUUUGUUUUUAUUAUUUUAAUUGCUAUAAGUUUUGUUUUAGAUGAUUUCUAUAAUUGAAGUUUUGUUUUUAGAAUGUCAUCCUUCAAUUUUUUUUCCCCAUGUGCUUCCCUUCUUUUUUUUUUUUGUUGCAAUUCAUUUUUUCUUUGACAAUUUUUCUUUAAUUUAGAUUUUUUUAUGAUUUAAUCCCCCAAUAUUAAAUUUUUUAGGAAUUGAGCUUCUAUAUUAAUCCCGAGUCUAGGAUUUCACAGGUUACGAGAUUGGAUAAUUAAUCAUAGUCUAGGAAAUUCACUCGUGUAUCCUUAAGUAAUAUUUUUUUCAGUUUCAUUCUUCAACAUUUAAGUUUUAUUCUUCAAUAUUUAUUUAUUUCAUUAAUUUUAUCUCCACUCUUUAAUCGAACUUGAGGUUAGUUAAGACCUGGUCAAGGCACAGCUAAGAGAAGAAUAAGAUCACCAUUUAAAUAGUGCAACCAGUUUGCUCUUAGCCUUUUAGAUCGAACAAGCAACAUCAACUUUUAUUUAUUUAUUUAUUAACACGUAAGAUGGUUGAUUAAUUUUAUCUGAUGCAUUAAGUUUUUAAUCCUCAUUUAAAAUAUUUUAUCACAUGUAAAAAAAAAUAGUAACGCUCAUAUUUUUUUAAUGCAAUCUUGAUCUGACCCACAACAAAGCACAUGCCUGGACUUAGUCUCAUCUAAAGAGGACUAUUAAUCAAUGAUCAAAAUAUUUUUUAUUUUUAUUUACCCGUUCUUUGGUUACUGUGUAUAGAACUUCUUCUUUUUUUUUUUUUUCGUAAUUGCAUUGGUGUUUAGUUUAGUGAUUAGUCCAUUAGCCCACACUCUACUGCGAGUCAGACCAAAUUUGUUUUAGGUGUUUGAAAAAAUAGGGAUAACAAAUGAUUAUUUUUAUUUCUAAUUUAGAAUAUUCAUUGGGAUUUAUAUUUGAUAAUUUAUUUGUUUGAGACUGUGAUAACUCUACACAAAAAAUAAAAUUCAUUAAUGAUAUUGAUUUUCCAGCCAAUCUAAUAUUAAAUGAUGAAAUAAAAAAAAUUAAAUUGUGAUGAUAUUAAAUAAACAAUCAAAUUACCUUCAAGAACAAAUGAUCAGACCAAAAACAAAACUGAUAUGGUAUUACAAAUAAGACCCUGAAGCCCAGCGUUAAAACUACGUAGCUAUGCUUUUUUGGGCAAUAAAUGAAUUGAACUGUUUAAAUUUUUUUAAAAAAACCUCUAGGUCCAAACUAAGUGAUGUUUUGCCUUUAAUAGUAUUAAAGUAAUUUAACUUUACAAAUAAGUUGCAAAAGACACUAGUAAAGUCGACCAAUUAAAAAAUUGUUAAUUCACAAUAAUGGAAGGAUGAGAAGUGUUUUUUUAGGACAUAGCAAUUAACUUAGCGUUUCAAUCCAUAAUAAUUGAUCUGGACAAAACCUCAAAAUUUUUGUUAGUUUUCAAAGUAAAAAAUAAUAUGAAAGAAGAAAAAUAAUAAAGAACAAAUUUAGCAUGGUUAAAAUUUGAAGGAUGAAAUUGAAAAUAAAAUCUAAUUUUAAGAGUUAAUUAAAAUAAAACAAAUAAAAAUCUAAAAAUAUAAAAGAUUAAAGCGAAAGUUUAAAGACUUGAAGGGUUGAUACGAAAACUUCAGGAUCAGGCAUGGUUUUUUAGAAAAAAAGAAAAAAAAAACCAUCACUCACCGGGAGAUGAGUACACUUGCUCAAGCAACUAAAUUUUACAAAAGAAACAGCGAAAAUAAUGUCCAAUACAGAAUUAACAUAGCAGAAAACAAAAAUCUUGAGCUCCAUGCUGAUGAUUAUCUUAUGCAGCACUGUUAAACUUAGAUUCUUAACAAUAUUCUAGGAGUAGGAUGAUCGGGGUUACACACAUGAUGAUGAACUCCAAAAACUUUGAAGAUUUGUUCUCAUUGCUACCUUCUAACUAUGUUUAUAGCCAUGAAAUAGAAAUUGGCUGCACAGAUUUCGAGCAUUCUUGAUCAUUAGGGCAACUCAUAAAAGAGCAUGGUUCUGGAACGUCAUAUUCUUACAGACAUGCAAAUUAAUCACAACACAAGGAAGUCCCACAUCCGAAUUCUGUAAAUUCUGUAUGUAUUCUUGUGUAAUUGAUUGUGCUAAUCUGUUAUAUUUCUCUGUUUGUGAACUGAUUUAAGAUUUUGCAGUUGUUUCCACUGUAUUUUUCUUAGCUGCCUCGCAUAUUUAAUGUCAAAAAACGAAACGAAAAGGUAAAAAGAAAGGACCUGGUUACAGACAGCAGGUGUAAGUUGCUAUUUGUGUGUGUGUGUGUGUGUGUGUGUGUGUGUGUGUGUGUGUGUGUGUGUGUGUGUGUGUGUGUGUGUGUGUGUGUUGGGAAGAGUUUUUUUGGAUUUAAUCAUAAAAUUAUGAUUAAGGUUCAGGAGUCGCCACCUAGUAUUAUGGUUAUUAGAAACCUAUGAUCUGCGGGAGUUUAGGUAAGAGACUGGUUGUGCAAGGAGAAGACGUAUCACCCUCAGUACACCCUAUCUAGGGCAAGCUUCAUUAUUGUUUGAUUGUUUUUUCUAAGUCGGGUUUUUAUUCGUUAGUCUUUUCUAAGGUUCAAGGUAGAUCUCUCUUCAUGAGAAAGUCUCUGCUUUAUUGGGUUAAAUCCUAACCGUUCUAAGUCUGAAUUUUAGCAUCAUAUUUAUUUACACCUUGUAUCUUUAAUACCUGAAAGUGUACUUUGUCGUGUAAUUUUACACUCCACAGAUAUUAAAAUCUACAUUUGGACCCUAAAAAAGAUUGGAAAAAAGUUUUUGAUAUUUUGGCUAAACCCUAAUGGAUGAUCAUAAAUUGGUUAUGAUAUCCAUUUUAAAAUAUAAAAAAAAAAAACAUGAGAAAGAUGCAAUUUUUUAAUAAAAAUAUACUUGGAAAAGUUUUAGAAUUUGGUCGUAUGCAUGAAAAUAAAAUAUUUGUUUUUGUUUUUUUUAAGGGGCAAUUAAUUUAAAAUAUUUAAGAUUUUUUGAAAAACAAUUUUGAAAACAUUUCGGAGAAAAUCAAAUAUUUUAAUACCGGAUUUAUAUCUUACAGUAUAAGUAUACAACCCAAUAUUAAGCAAAAUUGGUAGAAAAACAUUUGAAAAACAUCACAAAUAUUUUAAAAUGCUCCUUGAAUUUUUUUUUUAAAUAUAAUAAUAUAUUACCCAAUAUGUGGGCUGGGUCGAACUCAGCCCAGAACAAAGUUGGUCCAAUCUCGACCCAAAAAUAGUUGGCCCAAUCUCAACCCAAUGUAAUCUUUCUUCUUCUUUUUUAGGGUUGGGCCAGACCCAGCCACUUGGGUUGGGCCAUUACUGGCUCGGCCCAAACCACAGGCUAAUUAAUUAGGCGCUGCAUGUAGAAAUAAAUUCUGCAUGCAGCAGCCACGACAAGGAAGAAAGAGGUGAAGUAGGGAGGAGAAAGUUGUCUGGUGUGGGGGUCUCGGACGUGAUGAGGUGGUUUGGGCGGUGGCUCAGGAGGCGUCGGCUGAGGGAAUGGUGGCCGGAUUCAGCUAAUGGAGGAAGAAGAAAAAAGUUUGCAGAGGAGAGAGAAAGGCUGGAAGGAGAAGAGAGAGAGUCGCGGUGGCUGCUUGGUGGCCGGUUGGUGAGGAGUUCAAGCAACCGCUUGUAGUGGAGACGGUGAUGAAACGAAGGUGGUAGGAAUGGUGGUGACCGAAGGCCACGGCGGAGAGAGAGAGAGAAAGACAGAAAGAUAGAGAGAAGGUGGCAGAAACCGAGAAGAUGCUGAUUUUUUGGCUUACUUUGGACCUGAUUUUCUCCUCCUUCAGACCUUGAAAUCCACCUCUAUUUAUAGGUGGUGGAAGAGGGUAAUCUUGUCUACACUGUGGAAAAAUUGCAGCCCUUGAUUCAGUUGGGAAGGAUCCCAAUCGUUGGUUCAAAGUAGGCAUCCUGAGUUGUCAAAUAUGCAGGAAAAGGUUGACUAAGUUGGCCUCUUUAGGCCAGCUCCGACAUCGAUGGGUUGUCAUUCAGCCUGAACAAGUCAUAUAAGGCUACAGAGAAAUUGCAGGGGAUCAUUUGCGUGCAAGAUUUGUCAACUUUGAUUAGCGUUGGAUGCAUUAAAUGCACCUACAAAGUAGCUUCCCUAAGUUGUCAUUUCAAAGAAAAUUGAAGAAGAAGAUAAGGAAGGGGAUUCGCUUAGAAAAGAAUUUUAGGAAGUCAUCACAACCUGAACAGUAGCAGAGUUCUAUUUUUAUCAAAGUUCAAUUCAGUCCUCCCUCUUUAAAUUUGAUUUAAUUGCACCCCUAAUUGACUCUAUACUUUUGAUUUAGUACAAUUUAGCCCCUGCCGAACUUGAAUUAGAACCCUAAAUUUAAGCGCUCGGUUUUAUGCAAUGUAACCUCUAAUUCAUCCUAAAACUUCAAUUUUCUUGCAAUUUGACCCCUGAUUUCAAUCAAUUAACUUGGUAAAAAUUAAAUUUGGUCUCCUAAAAUUCCAAUCUUCUCAAUUAAACCCAAAUUAGGCUCCCAAACUUAAUUUUUCACCAAUGAAGCCUCAAAUAAAAUUAAUUUGACCCAUUUAAAGUAUAAUUAAGUCCUUGCACUUAAUUAUAUCCUUCAAUUGUACCCAAAUUAAUUCUUAAACAUAAUUAAAAUUUAAUUUGGCUCAUGAUUAAAUCAAAUUGGCCUAUUAAAAAUUUAAUUAUGUCUUUGGACUUAAUUUUUAUGCAAAUUCAUCGGAUAAUCAUUUAAUUUAACCUUUAAUUUGUAUUUUUUUUCUCUAUUUUUUGGUAUAAUAGGGUACAAUUAAGUCUUAAAAUUUCCUCCAAAAUUGUUGUUCAAUUUCCCGGUCUACUUUCUCCAUGUUGACAGCUUUUAUUUUAUUUUUUUGAUUUUUAUUUUGAAAAAAAAUAAAUUUAAGAGAAUAAUCCUAAAUUGGGUUAUGAGUGCAACAAUGGGUUAUCCAUAUUUGGAAGCAUAAAACUAGAAAUUUGGUUGUAGUUGAUGGGUCUUUUUCAAUCCAGCGACAAAACCAAGCCUCAAAUAGUACAGAACAGAACCAAACAUGAAGUUGAGAUUUUAAAUUAGCAAAGACAGAGUUUGCCGUCUCUUAAGUAGGGGUGUUCAAAAAAACCGACCAACCGAUUAAACCGAAAAAACCGAAAAAACCGAGAAAAAAAUAACCGAAAAAACCGAACCGAUAAAAAAACCGAAUAAACCGAUUAAAAAAUAAAAAAAAAUCACCUGGUCCGGUUCGGUUCCGGUUUAAAAAAGCUUAAACCGAUUGAACCGGACCAAACCGGACCGGUUUAAUUGAAUCUAAAAGAGGGGUAUAAAAAGAAAAUUCUAAACCUAAAUACCCUAACCCUACCUUUCCAGCCCCCCCUCCCUUUACCUUUUCUCUCUUUCCAGCCGCCCCCUUCCUUUCCCCCCCGCUUUAUGUACUCUCAUAUCUUGCUAAUGAGCNNNNNNNNNNNNNNNNNNNNNNNNNNNNNNNNNNNNNNNNNNNNNNNNNNNNNNNNNNNNNNNNNNNNNNNNNNNNNNNNNNNNNNNNNNNNNNNNNNNNAACCGAUGACUUACGCCUUACCAUGGCGUUACUCUACCACUGAGUUAAAAGGGCCCAUUUGAUUCAAUUCCGAAAUGAGCCAGCAUGCGGAUAAUCCAUAUCUAGAGAAAUAGAUUCUACAUCAAAUCUAUGUAAAGUAAAUAGAUUCUAUAUAAUUUUUUAUAUUUUUUUUUCUAUAUUAUCUAUAUUAUUAGAAUAUAAUAAUAUAGAAAAAUCUAAUGAAAUUCAUUCUAUUGACAAUUUCAAAAAACUGUUCAUACUAUGAGUAUAAUAUGCUGACGAUCGGGCAAAUGUGCCCCCAUCGUCUAGUGGUUCAGGACAUCUCUCUUUCAAGGAGGCAGCGGGGAUUCGACUUCCCCUGGGGGUAGGGUAUUACGAAAGGAAGUUGAUGGGGGAUUCUUAAGAAGUCUGGAAUUUUUUCUUCCUGGGUCGAUGCCCGAGCGGUUAAUGGGGACGGACUGUAAAUUCGUUGGCAAUAUGCCUACGCUGGUUCAAAUCCAGCUCGGCCCAAUAAUUCACUGAUCCACCAUGAAAUGAUAUAACCCCUUUGUUCUUUCGAAAUGUCUGAUAAAAAAAAAAAGAAGUAAAAAUUUCUGCUCUACUUGUUAUUUAUUUGAUUUGCUUUCUUUUUUUACCACAAAUUAUGAUCUUUCUGACGAUCUAGAUUCAUAUCAGGAUUUGUAAGUAGAAAGUCUAAGAAAAAAAAGUAAUAGAAAGAAAAAAGAGUCUUUUUUUUUUUCAUUGAAAGGUUGAUUAUCAAUUGAUUUUGAGAUUUUUAUUUGAAAUAACGAAAAGAUAACUAAUAAUUUGUGCCAGUAUCACUAAAAUAUAUAUGCGCAAAAUAUAUAUGCGCGUGGAUAUCAAUAUUACCUACCACUCGCACUCUGUUACAACGAGGCGAUUCCAAUUUAAAAUCUAAACAGAAAGUGUUUGAAUGAAAUCAGAAGAAUAUGUAUGCUGUAUUUCGUUUCCCUGGGAUUGUAGUUCAAUUGGUCAGAGCACCGCCCUGUCAAGGCGGAAGCUGCGGGUUCGAGCCCCGUCAGUCCCGACAAAUCCAAUAAACAAUAAUCCAAUAAAAAAAAAUACAUCAAUUCAUCUCUUCAUUUUCUGUAAAAGGGGUACAAAUAGCAGAAUUUCGUUCCCAAAGGGGAUCCUUAUUAUUAUUUUAUAUUAUUUAUAGAUUUUUUAUUUAUUUUCUUUAUUUUCGUUUUUCAUCAAAGCAAAUACAAAUAUGGUCAUUUUCAUUUCUUCAACUAGUAUCGAUGGAGAUGGAUAAAGACACAUGUGGAUUAGUACAAUUAUUGGUAGCGUCAUAUUCAGGAUUCUAAGAGAGACCUCACUGAAUUUGGCCUUUUCGAUUCCUCCCGAUCCGUAUAAUGAAAUCGAAUCGAGUACCCUAUCUUUCCCGGUAGCACAUACACAAAUAGAAUUCUUAUUUGUACGAUACAAAAUGACUUUAAUUUCUUUGAUAAAAUCCUUUUAAUCGGAAAAGUCUCUUCUUUUUUCGCUCCGAUUUUGUGUAACCUCAAUUAUUUGAAACAAUCUAUCUCAUUCAAAUUGUACACUGAAGUUUUGAUAUAUUAUAUGGCUCCCAUUCCUAAUUCAAUCAAGUAAAGAGUAUAUUAAUAAAAUAAAAAUCAAAUAAGGACUCUGCCUCUCUUAGAGAGAGAGGGAAUGGAUAAUCUUUUUUAAGGGUUUAUGCCGAAGAAAAAACAAACUCUAAAAAAAAAAGUGAAUUUGGUAGAAUAUUCGAUUUUUUUUAUACUGUACUAGGACUUAUCUUUAUCACACUUUUUUUUUUGUUUUCCAAUCCAAUAAGAUUAGAUCAUUCAAAAAAGGAGUUUAGAACAUAACUCCCCCUUUCCCAUUUCGCUUCUAUUGUUUGUUUGGGUUUGUUUUUGUUUUGUUUGUAACUUAUGUAAGUUUAAAGACGAUUAGAUGAUACUUAGUCAGAUGAUUGUACAAGGAAGGAGAUAGUUUUAUAGAAAAGAAAGAAUGGAAAAGAAUGAUAAAUAAAGUAACAAAGUAAGGAAAUUUUCGAUUGGAUCAGGAAUCCAUUUUUGGAUUUGGUAUGAAUAAAUGAUCUUUCUAUGUUAUACUAUUCAAUUCUCGACGAUAAAUCGAUUUGAGAGUUCAGAUAUUGUUAUUCAUGAUAUUGAUCUGAUUCGAUAUCAUCGAGAUGGAAUUCAUCCCAUUGAAUUUAGAGGCGAAAGAUUUCUCAUCUCUUAUGGGAUUAAAUCCCGAAUUAUUGUGAAGUAAAGAAAAACGAAACGAUGAGAUUAUGGAAGUAAAUAUUCUCGCAUUUAUUGCUACUGCACUGUUCAUUCUAGUUCCUACUGCUUUUUUACUUAUAAUAUAUGUAAAAACUGUUAGUCAAAGUGAUUAAUUUGAAUGAAACUUGACUUCUUAGUUCUUAUCAAUAUCAAGAAUUAACGAAAUAAAAUGAAAAGAAUUCCAAUUUUGCGUUUUAGCUGAAAUGAGCGAACUAGAAUCAGCAGGAUUCUAUGAGAUCCGAUAGUAUGGUAGAAAGUAAUAUAUUUACUACCAUACUAUCUAUUUUUGUUAUUCUAGUAUAUAAAGUUGUACUGUAGAAAGAUCUGGGCUUAAUAUGGAUCAAUCUAGAAUGUCAUCUUCAUAUUCAUAUAUAGAUAGAUAUAUAGACAAUAGAUAUUAAUUAUCUAUAUGGAAUGUACAUAAGGUUCAAAUUUGAUUUCUUUUCUUCAUAUGUUUGAUUUGUGUUGGUUCCAAUUAAUCUGGAAUAGUUGAAAGGCGCCUCUUACUCUUAUGAUUCCAAUUCUUGGAUUUCUGAUUAUUUUCAAUAUGAAUCCCAGAAUCCAUUGAAAUAAUCAAAUCAAUGAAAAGAAAAAAAAAGAAUAGUUGGGGUAUGUAUUAAUAAAAAUAAAAGAAAAUCAAGAAAUCUUUUUUUAGCAUUCCAAAGAAGUAAUUAAUUGAACACAUCCAAGGAAAGGAGUUUUAUAAAAACUUUUUCAGAUUUCGACGAAAAGAAAAGGAUUAGUAAACCCCGCCGAUUUUAAAUCUUUGAAUCAUAAUAUGAAAUGAGUCAAGUCAAUAAAGUAUAGCAUAAAUCGAAUUUAUAAAACGAAAAUAAUAAAAAAAAAUACUAAACUAAGUACUAAGUACGCAAUAUGUGACUUCUCCAAGAAAAUAUCUUAGUAUGCGGAGUAUCCCGUUAGAGAAUCACUAUGUCUAUUUUAUUUCCCGUAGAAAAUCACUUAAUUUAAUAACUUUUAAAUAACUAAAAAAAGAACUACUUUCUUUUGUCUUUGAACCGGAAAAAGGCAAACAAAUAAAAAGUAAAAAAGGUUCCGCUGCUCCUUAUUGUCCAUAUAUAACUCUGAUAAGAGCCGGUUUAUCAUAAUAAAGAAUUUAGGAAGAAUUCGGUUGGAAUAACUUUCCUAUCAUUUGUAUUCUUUUUACUUUUGAAAUAUGAACACUGGAAUCAUUAAAAUAUUUAUUUGAUUAUGAUUAAAAGGGUAUUAUUCAAAUAUUAUUCAUAGAAUAAAUUACUCCACUCGAAUCGAAUAGAAUUUUGAAAUUGAAUUCAAUUAUUGAAUUCAAUUUCAAUAUAAAUAGUUCAAUUUAAAAUAGUUAAAUUAAAAAGUCUUUGCAGAACGAUCUAUAAAAGAAUUUAUAGAGUUUCAUUUCUCAACUCAAUUAGUAGUAUCCCUAGAGUCCACUUCUUCCCCAUACUACGAGUGAAAGGGAAAAUGUAAAGACUACCAUCAAAGCAGCCCAAGCGAGACUUACUAUAUCCAUGUGAAUUAUGUCCCCUAUCUCUAUGAAUAUGAAGAAAUUUUGCUAGUAUUGUUCACUUUUUUCCAUUAUUUUUCACUAAUAAUAGUCACUAAUAAUAAUAUUAGUCACUACUAAUAAUAUUAGUAUCGCUGGUGCAGAGUAAAAAAAAAAAAAGAUUUUGUCCAAUACCAUUGAUGAAACAAUCCAAAAAAUCCAAUUCAAUUAAUUAGAACCAAUUAAUUAUAAGAAGUUCUUGUAUGAUUGCUAGUAGAAUCGGGAAAGAUUAAGCGCAAACAAAAUAAGCAGCAGUGCUCUUGGAAAUAUCAAUAUCACGAGUCUUUUUCCUCCGCUCUUUCUAUUGGGGACAAUAUAUCAGCAAAACAGAAUAAGGUAUUUCGCGUCUUUUGUUGAUCAGGCGACACCCGGAUUUGAACUGGGGAAAAAGGAUUUGCAGUCCCCCGCCUUACCACUCGGCCAUGUCGCCAAGGCAAUAGAAAUAAAAAAUAGACGAAAAUACCCCCCCCCCUUUUUUUAUUACUAAACUUCUUUUUUUUUGUACUUUUGUACUUGUAUCUUGAAUCCCAUUUUUCUUAAUCUGAAUCCCUUUCCUAAAAGAAAUCCUUCCUUUUUUGGAUUGGAUCUAUCUCUUUGAUUAAUUUUGUAUAGUAUGUCAAAUGUCAAAACACGCACUAUCUGAAUUCUUUCUCCUUUCUAUUGAAAGGAAAAACAAAAUGUGAAUUUUCAGUCACAAAAGCCGAAAUUCAGGACAAAUUGGAACCGUUAACUAUUGACUGAAAAUUCAUGAACGAUUCUCGAAUUUGAAUCUAAAUUUGAAUCUAAAAUUGUAUUUCCCGAAUGAUAUAAGAAAAUAAAAAUGGAUAUCUAACUAUCUAGUAUUGAUUCUUUUCAAUAAAAAAAAGCCUUCUCCAUUUCAAUUAUAACAACAAUUAUGAGUAUAUGUAAACCCCAGAACAUAAAUUAUUACACGUAUACCUCUAAUCAGAUAUCUUAUCUGUUUAUGAUUCCUAUAGAAAAUCGAUAUUUUGAUAGAGCACGCCAUGCGCUGUACAGAAUAGACCCGCAAUAAAAGGAAAGACGUAUAUAUAGAUAGCUAUAGUUCUAUCCGCGUAUGCUUAAUAAAGCUUUCGUCUGCGCUUCAACAAACUCUAUUAAAAUAAAAAAAAAAUAGAUAAAAAAAAAUAUCUCGUCUGUUCGGUGCGAAUCCUUUUUUUUUUUUUUGAACUGAACAAGGAAAUCCACGAAAAAAAGGAAAAAAGCUAAGUGCUAAAAAAACAACUUUAUAUUGUUUCUAACUAUUGGGUUUUUAUCUCAUCGAAGAGAUCAAAUCCCGAAUUAUUUAUUUCACUUGUAUUGGAAUAUGUAAUAUCAUAAAUAAUAGUAGAAAUUGAAUCACUUUUUGUUAUUCUAUAUAAAAUUCCAUAAGUCUAAGUUAAGUGGAUUUCUCAAUUCUUUUCCAGUUGUAUCUGUUGCAAAUUCCAAUUUGAGUAGAAAAUCAAAAUUCUCUUUAUUCCUCCGUUCAUACGUAUUUCAGACAUUCCAUAUUCAUAUAUGGAGUUAGAUAAAAUUUUAUGUGAUUCUGUAAACAGAAUAGCAAUUCCAUCAGUGCUGAUCGAUCCAUAUAAUUGGAUGAAAAACGAUCCAAUAAUGGGAUUUUUUUUUUCAAUAAAUGGGAAAUUUAAAAUGCUUGGGGAUGGAAAUGGGGGAAUGUCUACAAUACCUGGAUUUAAUCAGAUACAAUUUGAAGGAUUUUGUAGAUUCAUUGAUCAGGGCUUAGCAGAAGAACUUUAUAAGUUUCCAAAAAUUGAAGAUAGAGAUCAAGAAAUUGAAUUUCAAUUAUUUGUGGAAACAUAUCAAUUAGUAGAACCAUCGAUAAAAGAAAGAGAUGCUGUAUAUGAAUCACUUACAUAUUCUUCUGAAUUAUAUGUAUCCGGGGGAUUAAUUUGGAAAAACAGUAGGGAUAUGCAAGAACAAACAAUUUUUAUUGGAAACAUUCCUCUAAUGAAUUCCCUGGGAACUUCUAUAGUAAAUGGAAUAUACAGAAUUGUGAUCAAUCAAAUAUUGCAAAGUCCUGGUAUCUAUUACCGGUCAGAAUUGAACCAUAACGGAAUUUCGGUCUAUACCGGCACUAUAAUAUCAGAUUGGGGGGGAAGAGUAGAAUUAGAGAUUGAUAAAAAAGCAAGGAUAUGGGCUCGUGUGAGUAGGAAACAGAAAAUAUCUAUUUUAGUUCUAUCAUCAGCUAUGGGUUUGAAUCUAAGAGAAAUUCUAGAGAAUGUGUGCUACCCCGAGAUUUUCUUGUCUUUCCUGAGCGAUAAGGAAAAAAAAAAAAUUGGGUCAAGGGAAAAUGCCAUUUUGGAGUUUUAUCAACAAUUUACUUGUGUAGGCGGAGGUCCAGUAUUUUCUGAAUCCUUAUGUAAGGAAUUACAAAAGAAAUUUUUUCAACAAAGAUGUGAAUUAGGAAGGAUUGGUCGACUAAAUAUGAACCAGAGACUGAAUCUUGAUAUACCUCAUAACAAUACAUUUUUGUUACCGCGAGAUAUAUUGGCAGCCGCGGAUCAUUUGAUUGGAAUGAAAUUUGGAAUGGGUACACUUGAUGACAUGAAUCAUUUAAAAAAUA